AGCAAGAUGGUGAUUCUUCAUUAGCUUUGACCUCCAAGUUCUUAAGUGUGGCUGCACUAUCAUGUGGCACAGGUACCCCAUUCACCUCAAUAGUUUCAUUAGAUAUAUCAGUUCCCACUUCGGGUUUCGAGCUCGAGGCAUUAACAUCUCUUGCCCGGGUGUUAGUCGGCUUCCGUGGUUCCUGAAACUGGUCAACUUCAUCAGAAGCUGCAUUAACCUUUUUCUUGACAUUUUCAGAAGACAUGGCUGCAGUGUCUUCUUGGACAGGUUCAUGCGGCCUUUCAUGAGAUUUUGGAACAGGUCCAUUGCAAGCUUUUAAUGCUGCGCCACGACCCGCAUUCUUUUCUUCACAGCGGAACAAAGCUGUUCUGCUGUCAGUGGACAACUUCUUUUCCAUGUUCACAUCAGUGCAUUUUGCACUAGGAUUUGAAUGCGAAGAAUUUUUAGAACUACCAUGACCUAUAAUAGCACCAUUUGACACUUCUCUGCGGUGAUCUUCAUUUUGAUCCCUAUCUUCAUCAGUAUGCCGCAAUCUCAUACCCUCCCCUGAACAAGAUUCUUCAGGCAAUGAAGACUUUUUACCAGAAGAUCCAGAAGGUGAGACAUUAGAUCUAGAUAUCUCUCCAGCUGCAACACUGGCAAGCAAAUUCAUUCCAAUAUCAUCCCCAACCGAUGCAUUUACAUUUGCUUCAGAAACCUUUACACAACUAUCAACCAGUGCAUUCAUGGAACUGAACAAAGCCUCGUAGGAUUUCCCUGAUUUUGCUGCACUCCUCGAAGGAGAAUGAGCAUCUUUAGGUGUUUCUGUCAAUUUGUCAGAGCAUUCUCCACCUCUGCUCAGUUCAUCAGAAUUUAGACCACCAGAUGACAUGUUGGCAUCUUCGUAGAUGGGCAAUCCAUCUUUUUGCUGAUUUGUGUCCACAGCCACAUUCAUAGAACCAUUCCUUUGAAAAGUACCAAUUUUUCCUUUUACUUUCCCGUCAUUUUCUACACGCUCCUCAACUUGCAUCGAUGGAGAACCCUUACCAGAGGUAGCAGAAACGUCUUCCGCAGACCCACCACUAGCACUACAUGCAGGACUGCGAGCAGUGUUUGGCAACCGAACAAUGAGCCUCCUGCUGUUACCAUUGUCCACAUGGGGUGCAUCAGGUGUUCUUUCAGAUGUUAAUCUGGUAGGAGAUAACUUUUCAGAAGACAAACUCCUAAGUUCAGAACUCAUCUUUCCAAUACUAGUUUCCUUUUGAGUCCCUUGGACAGCUGUUCCAUCGUUACAAUUGUUUGGCUUCCGAUUGCGUGAAACACCACUAGACGUCCUAUUAACACCAAUUGAUACACAAGUUGAGCUCCUUGCUUCUUCCCUGCAAGAGAUUGUUUUUCCAUAUUCACUUGAACAGGACUGACUAUUGUUUUGGGACUGACUAGAACUAUUGCUUUUGUCCUCUUUAAUGGUUGUAAGAGGGGCAUCAGAAGAACCUGCCCUGUCCUCUUUAAUGGUUGUAAGAGGGGCAUCAGAAGAACCUGCACCAGCCAAUGCCACAGUACUCAAAUCCUUAGUACCAGCAACUUCUGAUGCAGUCACUGAUGGUGACUGUUUAGCUGUGCCAGGAGAACCAACAGACAACUUCUCACUAAUGCCAAGCUUAGCAGAUGGGAUUUUAGAAGCACCAGUUUGUACACUGGAAUUUGUAACACCAGGCUCAGUCGGUUCUCCAUUUCGACGACCAACAACAUUAGAAACUUCAGAAUUCAAGGAUUUAGUUGGCCAAGAACCACCACGACUUGAGCCAGACUUUGCAUCGAUCAUAUUCAUUUCAGCUUCAACUCUUUUCUUCCAUGUGUCAACCAAACUCCUGGCUUUUUUCUGUAUCUCAGAAUUCCUAUUAGUACGUAAAUGAUUCACAGAUUUCCCAAUGUUACAUGUUUGGAGUGCAUGAAGGUUUACUGGUAGUUUAUCUAGUGCUCGGAGCAAUGACAAGAGAAAUUCGUCAACAGAUUUAUCACCUUCUUUCGGACUACUGUUAUCACCAAGUUUACCCUUGUGAGCCUGCUGGAGCCAAUCAUCCAACACGGGCAAACCCCUGAGCUGAACAAACCUAGUAAGACAAUCAAAUCUAUCCGUUACAGCUAUUACAUUUGCCAGUAUGAUUCGACAAGCUAAAUCUAGCUUUUUCAUUGAACUGUCAGGUUGCAUGAGUUGCACCAAUUUAUCAACCCCUUCAAAAUCUGUGAGGCCUCCUCUAUCUGUUAUCUUAGCAAUCUCAAGCUUUAAAAUCUGAUCUGGUCGAAGCUGACCAGAAUCCGCAUCGUCUGCUUUGCAAGUACGCUCACGUUUCACAGAAUCAGAUCCUUGAACAAGUAGCUCUCUUUUCUUCCCUUUAGCCUGAGAAUGAUAAGAGGAUGAACUGUUUGGAGCACUAUCUGAACUAGGCUUAACUUGUGGACCAUUUAAUGCUUUCGGAGAACGACCUCCUGGCUGUGCAGCUGCAUACAUAUCUAUGUUUGUCUUGUCUAAGAGUUGAUCUACUUCUUUCUGGCGUUCCUGAGUCAAAUAAGAAUAGCCUUACAGUCACAUGAACAACAAUCAUGCAUGUAAAACACAAAAACCUAAUUGAAUUAUAUACUUACCUUAACAUAAUCUCUGUCGCUAAACCACCGUAAACACUUUGCUUCAGUAUCAUACACUCGUCUACACACAAUUGAGGAUAACCCUGAAGGAAGCUCAACACCUUUACGAAGAAAUGCAACCUUAUACAGAUGGAGUAAUGAUGCAGCAGGUAUCUCAGCUUUGUUAAAAGAGUAAAACACCUCGUUGGGUGCUGCUUCAAGCGGAAGACCUUUUACAAGCUUUACGUCAGCAGGCCGAUAAAGCCAACUAACAGACAACCUCAAACCUUCUUCUUUGCUUGUAAUUAAUCUAUGGAUCAUUCCAAGAAAUGGGGCCGAAUCUUUGGGUGCCUUAAAAACAGCACAAUCGCCAACAGAUAUCUUGAUUCCAUCCUGGAAGAUGUCAAAGUUACAGUAAGUUAAAAAUAUGGACCAACACACACACACACACACACACACACAACCUCCACAUAGAAUAAUCUCCAAUUUAUUUACAAGAAAUGAUCCGAAGUGGGGUCGUCAUUUUAGACAAGAAUUACCUCCAAAAUGCAAUUCAGGCUACAUGUUUAAAUGCCCGCAUGCAGAAACUAUACCUUUGUAUAUUAAGAUUAAGUAUAUACUACUUAUAUACAUAUACUCCUGAAAUUGUUUGUCUCAAAACGACAAGAAUAGCAUCACAACAAAAAAAAACUCUCUACAAUAAUGCUUAAAGGAGAAAAAAUCACUGACACAAUAAAUGACAUUUCAACUAUCACGAAGUAUAAAACAAAACGUGUGUCAUGUGUAUCGCCUUCCAAGAAAAUCAAAGUCUUUGAAUUGAGACAUACGAUUUGCUCAACAUAUCAAUCUUAUAGAUUAUAAUUUGUUUCACGUGCAAUUUUGUAAAGUAAAUAUUAAUUAAGUGCUAAACAGAAAUUUUUGAUUUAGUUUCCGAUUUCACCUGAACUUGUUUCACAUAUCCUAGGAGUAGUAAUUUGAGGUAUAUAUUGCCAUGUAAAUUAGAAAGUUAUCUGAAUUAAUCCAUAACAGCAACUAGUGACCAAAACAGAAUAAAGUCAUAACACUUGAAUUACGCUUUUGGACGAUGUGUAUCUGUAACUGAAUAGAGAUCAACUUGAUGAAUUCAAUAACUCUACAUAUACGAAUCAAACAAAUUCAGUAAUUUCAUACACAAAAAUCAUAUCAAAAUAUUUAGGGGAAAUCUCCGUACAAAAGAACAAAAAAAGAGACCAAGAGAAGACAUAAAAUUAUAUAACCAACCAAAAACCCACAGACAUAAAUACACAAUCACACACAAAAACAAACAAUAGAAAUGGAGCGCCCAAUAAUAAUGAAAAGGCUGGACCUUUGUGAAAGAAUCAGCAGUAACUGGAGCAAAUUCUUCGGAAUGACCUCCUCCGGUCGGCGUGGUGGAAACGGAGACCGGCAACAUGUGCCGGCAGUGAGAAUAAUUUAAACUGAAGUUCCAGCCCUAAAAAAAGCAUCAAUUAGCACUGAUCUACCAUGACUCGAUAUCAAAACCCUAGCUUCUCUUCAUAAUUCGUCAAUUGGAGCUGUUGCAAAACCCUAGAUCGAUGAAAAUAUCUACGAAACAACAGAAAUCCCCAAAUUUUCGAGCGAAAAAAUCGGAGAAUCAGAGAGGCUAGGGCUUAGGUGUAACCGGAGAAUAAUUCGAUUAAAUUAUAAGAUCUAGAUAUAUGUAUAGAAGAGAGCUGAUCGGAGAAAACGAUAUUCAGAGAUUUCAGGGCACCGGGUAUUUCGCAGAGAGAGAGAAGAUAGAGAGAGAGACAGAGAGAGAGAGAGAGAGAGAGAGAGAUGAAACUACGCGAAACGGCGAAAUAAGCUCGCUCUCCUGCUGAGGAAGUCUUAAAAUGAAAUCCAAUUUCGGUACUACUCAGAUAACGUCAUUAUUACGUUCUUUUUAUAAUCCCCUUCUCUCUUCCAACUCCGGAAUAUACAUUUUUCGGUCAUUCGAAAUUUAAUUAUACCAGCAAAUCUCGUUAUUAUGAUAAAUAUUCCCUUUCUGUAAAUAAUAUUCAUGUCUCCAUAACGGUUUUGAUUUUGAUCUUCUUGAUUGUAAAAUUUGAUCAGUACCAAAGAUGUCAGUGAUAUGGUUACAUAGAUAAAUUAGUUAUAUCAAAUUAUCAAUAUUUUCAAAAAUAUUUGAUUUGUAUCGAAAAAAGUCAUUCUUCAUUAUCGUGAAAGAGAUAUUCUAGAAAUGAUGAGCUUCCAAGAUAAGGGACGGAUUCGAUUGAAAUUUUAAAAGAUUAUUUUCAUUCAUUAAAAAUCGAAAAGUAUUCAAUUGAGAUUUUUUUAAAAUUUAAUAAAAUAUUGGAAUAUUCAAAAGAGAUUUUAAAUUAUGCUAUAAAAUCUGAAGAUAUUCAAUCAGGAUUUUAAAUCCAAUGAUUUUCAAUUAAAAUUAUUUAUUAUUUAUUACAAUCUUAAAAUCUGAUUGAUUUUUUUAGAUUUCAUAAAAUGUUGGAAAAACUUUUCAAAUCAAAUCUACACCAUUUCUUAUAUCAAAUUUUUUCGAAAAAGUUUCACAAAAUUCCUCCCAAAAAUACAUCUCUUUUCACAAAUUUAAAGCUUUAAAAUCAAAUAUGUAUUCCAUUACUGACCUUGUUUGCACCAAAUUCUUAAAUUCUUCCGGUGUGUCUACACCAUUUCUUCCAUCAAAUCUUUUCAACAAAACUUCACAAAUUAUCCCCUAAAAUAUAUCAGCUCUAAAACCAAAUAUCUCAUUUACCUUCAAGAUACAUUUCUACCGACUUACAUUUAUAAGAAUCACUUACCCGUGGAUCCUCUCCCUCACCAACUUUCCCGCUUUUAGAAUCACAACACUAAAGUAGAAGAUUUUGUAAUUACAAAUGAGUAUAGUUUGAAAAUCACUUCAGAAUUUGUUCAAGACCACAUAUACAAAGUAAAUUUGUUUCUGACACAAAAAUACCACAAAGAAAAACCUGUAUAUAAUAAUUAUUAUUUUUCCAAGGAAAAGUACUAUAACAAAUUUUGUAAAUAUAGGAAUAGCUUUUUUGUAUAUAAAAUUAUAAAAAUAUUACGAGUGCCAUAAUUAGUAUGCAUAUAUUUAAAAAGAGGUUUAGUUUAUAUAUUUGUUAUCAUUUCUUGUAUAUAUUUGUGUGUAUUUCAAAAGAGGUUUAAUUUAUUUUCUUUGAGUAGAGCUUAAAAGCUCAUAGCUAAUAUUCAUUCUCAAAUAGAAGGGAACAAACUCUAAGACCUGGAAUUAGCAGGGAUAAGACUUCAAACUAUCCCACCACGUUCAAAAGAGAUUUGAAUUAAUUUCACCCUCAUUAUUACAUUAUCAACAGAACCAGAUUGAUUAAGUGAAUUAAAAAGAUGAUUAAUUAGCUUCGAAAUAGCUCAAUCAAACAUAUAACAAUGUAGAAAAUUAAAAAAAUAACUUGUUCAGACUUUAGGCAGUUCUAUUUGUUUAGGAAAAGUCUUCAACCUGUUGCCAUCACGAAUUCACUAUUUCCCUCAGUAAUGCUAAACAACCUUUAUAGAAUCCCAUUAUAUAACUGUUAAAUAUUUACCUACAUACUAUCUUUAUCUUCCAAGUUCAUUAUACAAAGCUAGCUGAGGCAGUACUUAACUAGAACCACUAAUACACAUACAAUAUUCGCAAACACCAUUGUCACUUGGAUCCUGUCAGCAAAAACAAACAAAAGGGAUGUGCUACUUUUAUGCAUUAUAAACCCUAUUUCCGCUCACAUUCUUCUUGAAUUUCACCCUCUGCAAAGAUAAGGCACAAUGAUAUGUAAGAUCGUAAAACUAAACUAGUUUGCUCAAGAGCCCAAAAGUCAUUACCUGGGAGAUAAACAGCAAGAUUGGCUUAAGCAUCAGCUUCCGGGUUCCACUCCUUCACAAAACAACAUGUAUAAGGGGAUAGUUUACAACCUAUAGCAUAAAAGUUCACGGUGUAUGAGUUUGACUCAUGACUGGGAAGUUACUGAAUUAACUGUAACACAUUGUCAGUUUCUUGUUCUUGUUUAUAUUCAUGUAUUAAAAUUUUCUACUGAAAGCUCUUACUAACUAUUACUAAGCCUUAAGCAUCCGACAGUGUAAUGUAUGUAUAUGCUUCAAUUAAAGCAGGUACGCUCUGCCAUCAACUUAUCUCUGGUAACUAAAUAUGCUACGACGUAUCAUUUUGUACUGCAAGAUAAGUAAAAAGUGCUUCCCUGCAUAUACCCUUUCAACAUGAUCUCAAACCAUGUAAAUUUGUCUUUGAACUCCUUAGCCACCUUGCAUAAGACAGCCAUGUUCUGGUUUUUGGUUUUCCACAGACCCUGAAUCUGCAAAGUUCAUUUUGCCGCCGAAGAGAGUAAAAACCAAAUAUAAUUACAAUGAACAGAUACAUAUUGUAUCAGUAUAUUAGCAGCUGACCACAACCAAAAUGCCCAACAUUAAGAUAUAUAGCAACUGCAGAUGCAAUUGAUUAUAAGAAUUAGAUAGUGGAUUAUGUCAACUACACAAAGUGGAAGGAGAAAUAACUCAUUUUACAAUAUUGUAAUGAGAUAUAAUAGAAGAAGUCUUUCAGCUUUUAAUAAAAUAGUAUGGAUACACUAAGUAAAGAAUAAAACAAUGUAAAAAUAUAAUUUAUUUUCUAGUUGUAAGUAAUUGAACCCGAAAUAUAUUUAAAGGGUCCUGGUUUGGCCAUUUUAUGUCGGGAACUCUUAUCUAACAUAUUGUUUUUUCACCGCCUGAUUAAGAUAUGAACAAUUAUGACUAUAUAAAUGUUUAUUAUGGGCUGUUCUUAUUAAGUGUGGGGUACUUGUAUACAAGUGAACUUGACCACAUCACUAUCUAUGAAGAUCAACUGAACGAUCCUAUCAAGUCUACAUCAAAAGGUAAAGCGGGAUGCACGACUCUCUAGUUCGACACUAUACAAUAACGACAGCCAAAAGAUAUGCAGAGGUCAAAAGUAGUACCCGAGAUACACCUAUACUAGUAGUGUCAUCCCGCAAAAGAGCAACCUGUACCAUAGAGAAGUGGCAAAUCAGCGUCCAAAUAGCUCAGACACCCGACGCUUAAACUCCGCCCUAGCCCGCUCGACAAAAGCCGCAACAAGAGCGGGCUAGGGCGGAGUUUAAGCGUCGGGUGUCUGAGCUAUUUGGACGCUGAUUUGCCACUUCUCUAUGGUACAGGUUGCUCUUUUGCGGGAUGACACUACUAGUAUAGGUGUAUCUCGGGUACUACUUUUGACCUCUGCAUAUCUUUUGGCUGUCGUUAUUGUAUAGUGUCGAACUAGAGAGUCGUGCAUCCUCUUUAGCUUUUGAUGUAGACUUGAUAGUAUCGAUCAUUUGAUCUUCCUAAUAGAUAGUGAUGUGGUCAAGUUCUCUUGUAUAUUUCUUGAUAUGCCAAAAAUGAUGAACAUGUUACGAUUAGUUAUGAUGAUAGAUCAGUGAUGAUCAGAUUAGAUGCAGAUGGUUAGGUACUCUUUUGUACACAAACCUUGUAUCUUUACGAUGAUCACUGGUAUUGUUGGAUGGUUAUUUUACUGCACUAUUGACAUGUUUAUUGCUUGUACCUUUUAAGCUAUUGCUUGUAUUCAUAUUGUUCACAUGUAACUUUGAGUUAUAACUUUCUUUUUCCAAGACCUGUAAAUAGUCAAACAUUUUCCUUAAUAAAAAAAAAGAAAAAAAAGGAAGAAAGAAGACGAAGAAAACUUGAACUAUUUUCUUAAAAUUAACCCGAAAACCUAAAACUACAAACUUUUUUUUGAACUACAGUAAAAACUAUAUAAAUUAAUAAUAUCGGGACCGAAGAAAUUUAUUAAUUUAUCGAUAAAUUAAUAAUUAUUAAUUCAAAGAGUUUUUAACCGAUUAUAGUGUACAUACCAAACAAAAAGACAAAUUAGUCCAUGCCUCUUGGAAUUACAUUGCAGCGAAUCUUGGGACUUAACCUAAAUUAAUAACUAUUGUGUUCAUAUGUACUGGAAAUCAAUAAUCACUUUUAAAGUAUUGUACAGUAUAUGUAAACAAGAGGAAUAAAUAUGCUCAAUGUACAGCAUUUUUAAGCAAAUUUCUAUGAAUUAUUAAUUUAUGAUUUUCUUGGGACCGAAAAUUAUAAAGGAAUCUCUCGAAAAGUUAUUAUCUUAUUAUUUUAUUGAGUUUUUCAAUUUUUUACAUUGGCCCAAGUCGGGACCGGACAAAUUUAUUAUUUCAGAGAGUUUAUUAAUUUACCGAGUAUUGAUUUAAAGAGUUUCUACUGUAGUAAGAUUUCAUUGAUUCACCCUAAAAUCCUGUUUUUAUAAACAAAACUUUUGACAAACCUUUACCAUUCGAUUGUACAUCACUAUGAGAAAUUACUUUGUGAUAAAUAUAUUAUUUGUUCUUUCUAAACCCGUGACUCUGCUUUAACCAAGAUAAAUUUUGAAUUAUACUGUUACUAUUUUUGGAGUUACUUUUUGUAGAAACAAGAUGGAUCAUGAGUCAAAUAAAAGCCCAGUGCAAAAAAAUUCUUCCAGAACAACCCGAAGAAUCACCACAAGGUCCACCUCCCGGAUUUGAAAAUGUCAAUCCCCACAUGAUGCAAAUGUUCAUUAACUUUCUUCAACAAAAAGCUCAAAAUAAUCCAAAUAACCCCAAUCAAACCUCAACCAGUCAACCCCCUAAACCCGAGGUCACUUUCAAAGUUUUCAAAUCUAUCCAACCCUGAGUUCAAAGGGACCACGGAUCUUAUCGAGGCUAUGACCUGGUUAAAAGAGAUUGAAAAAGCUUUUGAAAUCGUGGGUGCGGGAGAAGAUAAAAAGACUUUGUUUGCAACCUAUAUGUUGAAAGGGAAGCCAAUUAUUGGUGGGACGCAAAAAGGGAUCUGCAAGGGACUAAUGUUAUAACUUGGGAAACGUUUACUAAGCUAUUUUUAGAGAAGUAUUUCCCUAAAUACCUCGAAAACCAAAUGGAACUUAAAUUUCUACAGUUCAAGGCUUCAAGCAAAGGAACCUAUCUGUGGCUGAUUAUGAAGCCAAAUUUACUGAACUUGCGAGGUUUGUGUCGCAUUCUGUCGACACCGAUGAGAAGAGACUGUAACGACCGCAAUCUCACAAGUACGUAUAACUACAAUUUAUUAAAUCUAUCUGUAAAGUUGCGCUAGAUAUCAUGAUUUAUAGUUAGGAUACGAGUAUAAAUUAAUAGAUUUCUUGAUUAUAUAUAUUAAUUUUGGAGUUUAUGUUCUCGCGACUAAAAUGAAAUUACUGCAUAGAGCUCGCUAAAUUUAAAAGACGAAUAUUUAGAUCGAUAAUUAGUAACUACGGGGAAUUAACACGAAAAGAUGUGUAUGAUAAUAAAAUAUGAUAUAAAUUAUUAAUUAAUAGGGAGUGGUAUUAUUAGUUUUUAAUAAUAAUAAAUAUAUAUAAUCAAUAGGACUUGGGUUUAUAAAUAAAUAACUCUUAGGUCCUUAACAACAAACAUUACUAAAGAUUGCUUAUAAAAAGGCUUAAAGCGAAACUCAAGCCUUUUAUUAUCAAAGCAAUACUGAGCGAAACCAGGAGUGUUGAAGAUCUAGCAGCUGGGGAUAUUAAGGAGGAAAGAAUUAAAACUAGCCUAAAAUCAAGGUAAACACUUAUCUUUCCAUUCUUUAAAUAGGUUUCAUUCAAUGAUUAAAUUGUAUUGUACUAUAGUAGUAUAUCUAUUCUUUAACAAAGACAACUUUCUUCGCAACGAGAGUGCACCCAUCAUUCAGGUCGACUUAUGAUUUCCUCAAAUCUUUAAACAUUAUUUUAUUUCAGAUCAACUUCAUUUGAGAAUUGUGUUCCUAUUCUUGAGCUGUUACGAGAAUUGUUGAUUUAAGAUUUCUCUGAAUCAAUGAUCAUUUAUUAAUCAUUGUAGCUUAAUUUCAAGCCCUAGUUUUGAUUCUUUCUUACUGCCGAUAUUUUACUCUUUCUAUAUAUCCUCUCUUGAAAUUGAUUAUUCACAUCAGACAUGUUCAAGUAAUCAGAUUUCGAUUCAUUAUUUCUAUUCUGAUUGACAUCUCGACUUCGAAUGUUUGACUUCUCUCAAAUCUGAGAAAUUUCAAUUCGAAAUUAUAAAGGUGCAAUUGUUCGCAGCUGAAGAAAGAGUGAGAAGUUGUUGAGAAGAAAAGGGUAUCGUUGUCCUCUGGGAAAGGUUCUGGUAUACUAGUCAACACGAAUGAUUUGCAUUCGUGGUGGAGAAGAGAAAGAACAGUGUCCCUGUGUGGGAAGAAUUUAAGGGUUAAAAAUUAUAACCCUUUUGCUAGCAACGUGUGGAUGUGUAGUGGCGCCAAUCAACAGUCGUGAUCAAGCUGCGAGGGCGACACAGGGUGGUACUCGCUCAAUGGCGGUGAUCGAGCCUUGUGUGGGACCACUGGGUUGGAGACCAGUAAAUGAUGGUUUUUUUUAUAAAUUCUAUGUGUGUUUAAUUGCAGCACUUCUUUUGAAUCUGCUUAAAUUCUUUUUUGGAUUAUUUUGUGUUGCUUUAUAAGUUGUUAGUGGACUUGAUGAGCAUUCAAUUGCUCAUACUUGCAAUUCUUUAUCUCUAUUAAAACUGAACAUGGCACGAUUAAGGACAACUCGGAAGCGUACAACAGCAAGGGCAAGGCGUAAAGUGGUGGCAAGACGAAGGACGCGAAGACUCGAUCCCGUAAUGAGAAUGUUUUUAAUAAUUAUAGUAGUUUGUACUUUUGGACUUAUCGUUGUAAUAAUUUGCUAACUGUGUGGAAGUGUAAUAUCGUCCCUGGACUUGCGGGGCGAGUUAUGUAAUAUAAGACAAGUUUGCCAAGGUUAUGUGACGACCCAAGUCCGGAUAGAAAGGAUUUGGGGGAGUUACAAUAAACUAAUUAGAUUAGUGUUGAUUGAGUCUUGACAUUUUCUUUAGACUAUCUUGUGCUACACAUUUUUACCAAAACAUAAGAGAGUGAAAAGAGAGAUAGAUGAUUUUGUUUUGGCGGCUAGUACAAUCCUCAUUCAUCGUCGAUCAUUGAUGUUCAUGCUAUUCGUGUGGAUACCGACAGAGGAGGGACAUGUCCAAGAACUUUAAUUGUCAUCCUUCCGUUAAAAUUUCAUAAGGUGUUUACUCUUAUCUCAGAAUAAAGUCUAGUAGUUUUGCAUUGAUCCGGUUUCGAUUUUGUCAUUAACCAUGUUUGCUGCUAAAAACCCUUCGAUCACCUAUUAAAAUUUAUAGAUAGAAACAAUUUUGGUAUUUAUGCUUUUAGUAAUAUUAUAUAUAUACUCGGCUUAACUGAAACUAGGGGUGGCAAUAUUGGACCCGACCCGACAACCCGACACGAAUUCGACCCGCAAAAUACGAAUUCGGGUUGGGGGUUUUCGGGUUCGGGUCGAAUUCGGGUUGACCCAAAAUCAACCCAGAAAAAACGGGUCAUUUUCGGGUUGAAUUCGGGUUACCCGAAAUUGACCCGAAAUUACCCGAAAAUUAAUAUAUAAUAUAAAUAUUAUAUAUAUUUAUAUUAUUUAUAUUAUUUUUAUAAAAUUUAUUAGUUAAAUAUAAUAUUAAAUUAUUUAAUUUAAUAAAACUUAAUUUAUUUCGAUUAAAAUAAUAUUUAUUUAUUAUUUAAAAAAUAUUUUUAUUAAUAAAUAUUAAUUUUCGGGUCGGGUUCGGGUUACCCGCGGGUAGUGCGGGUCGGGUUCGGGUUGGGUAUUCUGACCCAUUAAAAUUUCGGGUCGGGUUCGGGUUGGGUAAAUUUUUUGUACCCGCGACUGUCAACCCGACCCGAACCCGACCCGAAACCCGAAAUUGCCAGCCCUAGCCAAAANNNNNNNNNNNNNNNNNNNNNNNNNNNNNNNNNNNNNNNNNNNNNNNNNNNNNNNNNNNNNNNNNNNNNNNNNNNNNNNNNNNNNNNNNNNNNNNNNNNNNNNNNNNNNNNNNNNNNNNNNNNNNNNNNNNNNNNNNNNNNNNNNNNNNNNNNNNNNNNNNNNNNNNNNNNNNNNNNNNNNNNNNNNNNNNNNNNNNNNNNNNNNNNNNNNNNNNNNNNNNNNNNNNNNNNNNNNNNNNNNNNNNNNNNNNNNNNNNNNNNNNNNNNNNNNNNNNNNNNNNNNNNNNNNNNNNNNNNNNNNNNNNNNNNNNNNNNNNNNNNNNNNNNNNNNNNNNNNNNNNNNNNNNNNNNNNNNNNNNNNNNNNNNNNNNNNNNNNNNNNNNNNNNGCUCUAUCUUGUUGGAUGCAGCACCUAUCAGAACUUAACUACGAACAACAAUCGCUUUAAUUAUUCAUUUUACAAUUUUAUUCAUAUACUCAUGUAGUGAUGGUGGGGUUAAUUAUUUCUGCUUGUUGGAGAUUGGCAGUUAACUUGGAACCCUGUUGUUUCUAGUUUAAUAGAGUGGAUUACAGUUGAUAAUAAACUGAUGGUAAAACGAAGCUGUAAUGAUUGGUAUGUCAAUAGGGGUGGCAAUAUUGGACCCGACCCGACAACCCGACACGAAUUCGACCCGCAAAAUACGAAUUCGGGUUGGGGGUUUUCGGGUUCGGGUCGAAUUCGGGUUGACCCAAAAUCAACCCAGAAAAAUCGGGUCAUUUUCGGGUUGAAUUCGGGUUACCCGAAAUUGACCCGAAAUUACCCGAAAAUUAAUAUAUAAUAUAAAUAUUAUAUAUAUUUAUAUUAUUUAUAUUAUUUUUAUAAAAUUUAUUAGUUAAAUAUAAUAUUAAAUUAUUUAAUUUAAUAAAACUUAAUUUAUUUCGAUUAAAAUAAUAUUUAUUUAUUAUUUAAAAAAUAUUUUUAUUAAUAAAUAUUAAUUUUCGGGUCGGGUUCGGGUUACCCACGGGUAGUGCGGGUCGGGUUGGGUAUUCUGACCCAUUAAAAUUUCGGGUCGGGUUCGGGUUGGGUAAAUUUUUUGACCCGCGACUGUCAACCCGACCCGAACCCGACCCGAAACCCGAAAUUGCCAGCCCUAACUGAAACCAAUCAACUAGUGCCUUAGGUGGAGACCCAUCGAAUCGACUUGACUUAACGCCGUGACAACCAUGGACAUAUACAUUUCCCUUGCACAAGGAUUGUAAUUUUCCAUUUUGCGAAUCAUUUCAUAAUUGACACUCUUCCACACUUUGUGGUUUUUGAUCGGAGUUCAUAAUAAUUACAUACAUAUCAUUAAUCACAAUACUCCCACGAUCCAAUCAUGAUUAAUGAUAUGUAUGUAUGUAAUUGUGGUUUAUGAUUGGAGUUUUGUAAUUAAUGAUAUGUAUGUAAUAUUAUUAUGAACUCCAAUCAUAAACCACAAAAUGUGGAAGAGUGUCAAUAAUGAAACGAUUCGCAUAAUGGAAAAUUACAAUCUUUGUGCAGUCAUUACAAUGACACCCCGUGGACUUCUUCAAAAUAUUGGCCAAAGGAUUUUGACACACAAGACAAGUCAAGAAACCUCCCCGGCCUAACCCAUAAGGCAAUAUUCAUCUUCUCGUGUUGAGACACCUCCCCAAGUUCAGCAUAACUUUUUCUUUACAAACUAAACCCUAUUAAUAGCCAUGUAUGUAUUCCUACAUAUCGAUUAUUUCAUUAAUAACUCUAAACAUUUUUAGUCAGAUAUCUCCCUGCAACACAUGCUCAUGAAAGGGGCAAUUGAUUUAUAAUAAAGAGUAAAUAUUACUAUUUCGUCCCACCCAAUUCUUUACAUUGAGGUUGGGUAUGUAGGUAAAGAAAAAUGUAUAACUAGUGUGAAAAAGGAAGAAAAGUGGGUGAAGUGGGAGAACUAAUUAUAAUAUAAUUAAUAGAUCAUAAAAAAUGGAUGAAAAUAGCGGGUGAAAGUAGUUUUUAUAUUAUAAAAAUUUAUUAUUUUUAGAAAAUUUUGAAAUGUAAAGAAUUGAGGACAUCCCCAAAAGAAAAAAGUAAAGAAAUGGAGGGAACGCAGGAGUAUUUUAUUGUGUAAUUGUAAAAAAAUCAAUCCUGAGAACUUUAGAAAUAUAAGGGAUGAAAAUAAAUUUGUUACCGGAAGGGCACCACUAAAAGGGUCUUUCAGUUUAGAUAAGAGUAUAAGCUGCAAGAAAUUGAAUUUCUUCCGGGGGUGAAACAAAAUUUGGUAGUAUAAAAAAAAGGGUUUCAAAUUCUAAUAAUGAAUAUAAAGGUAUUGUCUAUAUUAAAUUUGCAAGAUUAUAAAAUUAUGGCUAUCAUGGUAGUUUUGUAUUUCUUAAAUAUUUCCAUAUAUUCAAAAAUUAUUCUUAUAUUAGUUUUGCAUAAAUUAAGAUCUUAUAUUACCUUAUAAAAUAAUAUGUAACUGGACUAUGUCACAUUAAUAUAUUUAUGAAUUAUUAUAUCAAUUUUAUUUUUAUUGAAUUAAGAAACAUUUUACCGUACACAGUAUGUGCUUGCUUUUUGUUUAUGUAAGAAAUUGUAUAACAUAACAUACCCAGGUUAAUACAUGCCAAAUACUAAACACCACAGUAAAAAAAUAGGGUGAAACCAAAAAUAUAUAGGUUUCAGGGGUGAAACCAGGAUUGGUUUAACAAGAUACCACUGAAAACUGGUUGUGGCUUUCAAUAAAGAGUUGACUUUCGAAGCUCAUAUUCUAUUUACAACAUAAUGCAAGUGUAAGAGAAGAUAUGGGUUAAAAUUUGAAUUAUGAUUUAAGUUGAGCCAACGAUAAUAAUGAGUAAAUUACUAAAUUCAUGGUGAGUGAAGAAAGAAAGAUAAACCAAGGGAGUAUAGCUAACCUCCAUAGAAACAAGUUUAGAACCUCCUUUCACACUUAUAUGUGUAAUCCUCUUCUGCAGAGCUACCUUCAAUCCUAAAUCAGAGAUCGCUAUUCUGCAACAUUAUUAGUUGCAAUGCCCAAACCUUCACGGAGCCGAUAAACCUGUGAAAAUAUAUAUCAGACACCGUCACAUUAUACAAGAGAAGCAUAAAUGCCAAUCAGCAGCAUACCAGGCUUCCAUUUGCAGCACGCAAAACAACUCCAGCACCAGCUUGCCCAGGAUUUCCCUUUGAUGCACCAUCAAACUCUAGAAUGAAGGUCUGGAAAAUAAGAAGAUUAAAAUUCAACUACACCAAACUAUUAUAGGCUUUGUAAUUUUAGUAGAAAAUAAUUUAGAUUGGAUGAAGAAAUUAUCUAUUAGUAUGUUAGAUUGAUAAAACACAAACAAAAACAAAAUGUCCACACCUUUGUGAACUGACAACUCCAUCCACCAAAUAUACCAUCAAUUGAUAUUUUGUGCUAACACGACACGACUAAAUACUUUCUCUUCCUUAUAUAACAGCCAGUCUUCUGCCUAGAAUUAUAGAAUAAAUUUAUAUAAAAAAAUUACUCUUUCCAUAUCCACGUCAUAUGGAAUCACCUAAUCACUAUAUGUACGAUUGUAACAAAUUUCUAACAUGAAAAUUUUUUACUUGGCUAAAGAUGAGCUUAACCAGAUACUCAGGAUACCUGUAUCAGAGGGUGCAUACCUGCAUGUACUACAUAUCUCCGUGUUAUCAGACUUACUUGAUACUUAGACCUAUUUGUGCAGGUUAAAUUUUGUGUAUAUUUGUUACUUGUUGAAGAACAUCCCAAGUUAAUUUUCUUUUUUUGUUUGUGGCGCCAAUUUCUGUAAUUAACUAUUUGCGUUCAAGAUGCCUUCAUUACAGUAACAACUCAGCACAAGAAACUCCAUGCUCGAUCCCAUCAUUAGACGUGUCAAAGGUUCAGAAAAUCAGUAAUUUUGCGAUAAAAUUUUCAAUCUUCAUAUCCUUGAUUUAAGGCUGGUACACAAUUUGUGUGAGCUACCAUAUAUAAAGGAAAAAAAUAAUGAGCAACAAACAGUAGCGAGAUUUAUUAUAUAGAUUUUGAAAGGAAAAAACAGCAUUAUUGACUCUUUACAGCCAAAAUAUGGAACAUGGAGUUAGCUUAAGUAUGUUUAAAAACACUGUCAUAAACCACUCUACAGAGCAAGGUCCAGGGAACAUGUACUCAUCUGCAUGAUAAGAGACUGGGAACUGGUCAGACUACUUACACAAUAAGAAGAAACUUUUGGAACAGCCAUGGCAUUCUCUCUUCUAGGUUGAUUUUGUCGAGGGCUUGAGAAUGGAUUUGAUCCCCCCGAACCAUGCUAAAAAAUAAAUAUAUAAAAAGAAGGCAAAAGACAAGUUCUGGAGAGAACCGUAAAUCUCCCCGGCUAAAUUCAUAUAAAUUCCAGGGUUCAUGAUUCUUAAAAUAGCAUUGAGACAAUUUAUUAUGCACAACAGAAAUAUAUAUAAGAUAAAAAAAUUUAAAAUAAAUGCAACCUUAAUCUUGAUUCUUGACUACUAGCAUGACAAUGUGUAUGAUGAUGUGGGGUGAUUUAUUGGUUAAAACCUAAACAGAGAAUGCUAAAAGAAGUCAUUGCAAAGUUGAGAUAACUUGCAAUUUCUUUGAAAAUAUGCUUAUUGGAAAUGUGAGAACUUGAACAUAUUAUACAUAUAUUAUAAUAGAACAAUUCAACGGUUCAUAUAUAUCUCAUAUCUCAAUACAAUUCCUAGGGCCUUCUCCAGAGUUGAUAGCCAGAUAAUUAUUAUAUAUAGUACACUUGUGCAAGAAAUGACUCUCAGUUUAAACACAUGUUGGCAUUAAAUAUAUCAUGUCUUCUUUCCUUGGUCCAAAACAAUUUAUGAAUGCUUUGGAUGUUAGAAAACGUUAUGUGGUAUAGACUUUCACAAUAAAGACAAGGAAUAGGAAAGGAAAGAAUUUCAUUAUUACAUGUGUUUACAAACAUCUUCCCAUUUUGGGUAAUACUUUGUAAUAUGAUAAUAUUUGCACAAAAAAGGAAGACCGUAAAAUUUAUACAUAAUCAUUACACUCCCUUUACCUGAGUCAUUUCUCUUUCCUACUUUUUCUUACACUGCUCAAAAAUCAGCCCCUGUGACUAUGACUAUGACUAUGACAUCAUCAGAUCCAUCAAUACACUUAGAUAGCAAGGUUUAAGCUGGUACAGAAAAGGUUGGCUUCUAAAUUUUCUUAUCAAGUGCCAUAAAAAAUUAAUCUGUCUAACCGAAUUUUUAAAAAAAGAUUUGACUCAAACUUUACAGAUCAAAAUCUAAUCGUCUAAAGUUGAAAAAACUUACGUAAAAAGAAGCAAAGAACAUAUUAAAAAUCAGUACUAGAUUUUCUAGAUCAGAUGACAUUCAAGUAAUCCUACCACCUGCCUACCAUUUUGUGUUUGAAUGAGUUUUCCCAUUCGUUAAUUAUACAUCUUCCAUACACCACACAGUCGAGGAUUUGAAAUGACCACAACAUGGAGAAAUGAAAAAACGAAAGGCACAGACAAGAUCCGAAGGAGCUAAUGUGUAAAUAAAUAUGUUAAAGACCAAGUAAGCAGUCUCCCAAAUAAGGUUCCUUUUGGGAUUGCUGUUCAAAAUAGCGGUGCUAAAAGAAAAGAUGCUGGCGGGAAGUGUUAUAAAAAUCACAUGAGUGUUUGGUAAUUUUUUUAAUAUUUGCAUGUCUUGCAAUAAUAUUUUUGGUAUGAUUUGAAAUUAAAAUGUAGAUGCUUCCUGCAACAGCUGAAAAGCACCUUGUUCCAAAAACAUGGGGGAACCUACUUUCUCUAACAGCAACUUUAAGGCCAAAAGCUCUGUUUUUUUAAAUUUUGCCACACUUUUUUACCUACUUAUUGGUAAAAAAAACUGCUGAAGGUGUUUGCAACAACUAUACCAAACAGAGCCUAAGCAAUCAUGCAGGACAUGAAGCAUUUGGCAAACAUGUUCCUUUCAUUAAGCCCUUAAACUAAUUCCUGCCAUACCCUCAUAUCUUGUUUGGUUUGUAAGAAAGGGGUCUACAGAGUUCAAAUUCUUCCUUUGCUACUUUGCAAACAUAGGGUAAUAUAGUAAAAUUGAACAUAAAUGCAUAGUUUCUGCAACAAAAAUCUUCAUUAAAGGCGCUGCAAAACAAAGAAUACUUCAUAUAAAUCAGAAUAGAAGAACAUGCUUUACAAAAAUCAGUCUCAAGCAGCUAUAUGUGUUGUAGUGUAUGUUUUAAACAUUAUUAGAUUUUACAACCACUAGUCUACCUGCAGCCUCUUUUCUGAAGAAUAUAUCCGCACUGCUUUCUCUUUAUCGCUAGCUGGUUCCUGAAAAUAAUCAACAUUUACAAGUUGCACGAGCUACUCCUUAAAAUAUAAGCCUUAAAUAAUUUAAUCAUGGCAAGGAAUAAUACUUGACUAGAGCCUUAAAUAAUUUAAUCAUAGCAACGAUUAAUACUUGACUAGAUUAGUUGACGCAUAAUAAAUAUAAAAAAGAGAAAAAUCCUGAGACACAAACAGAUACACCAAUACCAGAAACCAGAACCAGACUACGAGUGUUAAUAGAGAGCCUGAUCACAUCCGGAGGAGACGGAUGAUGGCAUCCGUGAGGAGGGCAUAGUUAAUAAGCAUGAAAUGCGCAAGAGGCUACCAAGAGGUUAAGUGCAAAAUCAAGAAGAAACACACUCGAUAGAUAUAAAUUGAUGUGUAUAUCUAAUUAUAUAAAAUAAAUAUUAACAUUUAAAAGAAAAGAUUAUUGGUGGACACAAACAAGAAACUGGUACUCUCUUUUCAACAAACACAAUUUAUUUUCAUAACAAUAACGGAAGCUUACAUACAAUUGACACUAAAUUGGCUUCACUCAGUAAACAUCUACAUUUUUUGAAUAAUUUUUCACUCUUCUUGUAGUUGGAAUGUUAUAAUACUUGUUCAUAGAGGGGGAAGGGUGUGUUUCAUGAUCCUAUAUAGUUAGGAAUUCGUUUCUGGAGUGAUAUCUAGUACUUUCCGUAUCUGCUCUUAUUAUUGCAAUGUAAUUUUAUGGUGUUCUAUGCCAUGUUUGUACAAGUACGAUUCCCAAACAGAUGACUAUCCUACUAUUCGCACCAGCUUUUUCUUUUAAUGCCCUUUUGCAUCUGCUUAAAAUUCUCAUGAUUCUCAGCAUCUUUUGUAACUUUUCAAAAAAAACAAUCACACGUUAGAGGUAGUCACGAAAAAAACUUCUCUACUCAAAGGAGCAAAAUUAUGCUCACAUCUCACCUUUCAGACCUUAAGUCCGAGUAAGAUGUUUGGUUUUCCUUUAUUGACUCUUGGAGUCUUGGUCCAUCUGAGAAUCAAAUUUGAUGAGAAAGUGGAACAAGAGACAAGACUAAACUUCAAGUAAAAAUAAUGCAAGUGACAUCUAUCUGAUAAAAAAGAAGAGACGAACAUAGAACAAAUAGAAUUCUUAAGCAAGCGUUGCAGAUAAUGAGAUAAAGGAGUGUCCGCAGGCUCAGCCUUGCAGAUACAAUAGUAAUUACCUGAAAAGGGAACACAGCAAGCGGGCCAAAAAGAUCAGUUUUCACACUGGAGGUGCCAAUGGAACAAAUAGAAUUCUUAAGCCCACGUGAAUUCAGGAAUGCCUCAGUCUCUUUGGGAAGAGAAUAUCCUUUGAACACAGUAAUAGAAGGAUCAUACAUCUAAGCAAUCAAGAAUAAGUAUAAUAUAAGCAAGCAUGCACUUUUAAGAGUCAUCAUUAUACUAGUUACAGAACAUAUAAGAAGAUUAUGGGGCCGUUUGGGUGAGCUUAAAAUAAAUGUUUCUUGCUUAAAAUAAAAAAGUGGAGUAAAAGUUAGAAGCAAGUUAAGACUUAUAAGUGAUUAAAGUGUUUGGGAAAUAAGCAGAAACCCUGAAACAAAAGCUAGCAUUCAAAAGCUAGCAUUCCUAGCUUUUUAUAAGUGUUUCUUGACUUUUUACACAAACGGUAUAAAUAAGUGAUUUUAACUUAUAAACCAGAAGUCCGGCUUUUAAGCCGGAAACAAACACCCCCUAUAUAUUCCACUGACCUAGACAGUUAAUUAGUUUACUCUGAGUCGAUUUAACAAACUAAAUAAACAAAUUGAAGGAAUAUCCCGUUAAUAUUCAUGCCCUUAUCAUUCCAUAAUUGAAGGCGAUCACAGGCAUUAGGCUCUUAGGAGUGACAAAGAACAUAUAUACACACAACAUAAAUAGAAUAAAAGUGUAUAAUUACGCACGAGAAGGGCUUGAACGUCAGAAGAAUUGUCGUAUAGACCCACGAUGUCCCCCUUCCUCACAACAUAAAAGGCGUCUUCUUCAUCACCCAUUGGUUGAUUAAUUCAAGCUCUUGCUGCACAAAAUCAAAGGAAAUCUUCAACAAACAAUGUGCAGUUGAAAUUAAUCUUCCUUCAUCAAGAAAGAUUUAAAGGAAGGAAGUUUACCUUGUAUGAAUUCUUCAAGUAUGGUGGGUAGGUGGUGAAAAAAGAAGAGUAAAAAGUGUUUAGGGUUUAAUGGCGGGAAAGUGAACAAGAAGAGACAGGGAAGACGAGGGUGGGGGAGUGAUUGAUGAAGGAGAUGAUUAGGGUCGGAUCGGGUCGUGGUGCACCAGCGAGGACGGAUAACCAGCAGAAUCAAUUUUCAAAUUUGAUUUGCUUUCCACUAAUAGAAUUGAUACGAAUAUAAUUUUAUCAUAACCACUGGGGGCGAGCAAGAAUUCUCCAAACCGAUUUAAACCGGCCGAUCCAAAGCGUCCAAACCGAUUUUUAUGAUUUAUUAACGGUUUGAUUUGGUUACGGUUUGAAAUUUAAAAAACCGAAUUUUUUCGGUUUGGUUUCGGUUUUUACCUCUAAUCCGACCGAUAUAACCAAACCGAACCGAAUAUAUAUAUUGAAAUAAUAAUAUACAUGUGUGAAUAAUAAAUUGAUAAUAAAAUUAUAUUCUACAAAAUAUGUGAAAAAUAAAACAUAAAAAACUAUUAUUAUAUUUUAUUAAAGAAUAUUGAUAUACUAAUUUGUAUGUAUUAUUUUUUUGUUUUUUUAAUAAAAGUAUAAGAAUUACAUUUUUAUCAUCUUUCUCCCUCUCCUUAUAUUUAACAAGCUCUUAUAAUUUAAUAUCUUUCUUAAAAUAUAAUUAAAAUCUAAUAUACAAAUUCAUAAUAUAUUUUAAACUUUCAAUUCUUGUUUUGCAAUUUCAAGUUUAAUUUUGUCGUUGAAUUUGUUAUAUUGAUAAAAAAACGGUUUUAACCGAAACCAAUCCGAACCAAACCAUUUUAAAUGGACCGGUUCGGUUCGGUUUUUUUACUUAACGGUUUGGUUUCGGAUUGAAAUUUUGGAAAACCGAUAAUUUCGGUUUGGUUCGGUUUGGACCCUCAAAACCGUCCAAACCGACCAAUGCUCACCCCUAAUAACCACGGAUUGUUUCCCGUAUGAUAUAUGUUUUAUUUUAUAUAUUACUAGCCUUUAACCCGUGCGAAGCACGGACGGGUAUAUAGUUCGUAAUUUAUUAUUUAAAAUUUAAAUUUUUACAUCAUUUUAUUAAUAUUUUAGUAUUAAUGGAUUGAAUUUUAAUUAAAUUAUAUUAUUCAACUAACUAUAUUUUCUCUCAAUUACUUAAAAAUGGGCAAACCCUAAUAUAUAUAUAUAUAUAUAUAUAUAUAUAUAUAUAUAUAGGGUUGCACUCCACACAGAACAUCUUAAAAAAAGAACAACACAAAACACUAUCAUAACACUUCAUUUUUCAUAAAUAAUGAUUUGUUAAGGUUAUAAUUACAUAGUUAAGUAGUAAUUAAACUUGAUAUAUGAAUUCUAACAUCCAAACUCAUCCAAAUUAUUAAUAUGAAAUAUUAUAGAAUCCAGACUAGAAUCAAGAAUAGAAUCCAGAAUAGAAUCAUAUAGAUAUAUCUUUUGCACGAUUAUUUUACAUAGAAUCAUGUUAUUUUUAAUUUAUAUUUAUUGUUAAACAUGGUGGAUACUGUUUUUAUUCAUAAUAAAACGUUAAUCACCUUAAAAUUUGAAUUUAAUUCAAGGUUUUGAUGAGAUUCUACAUUUGAUUCUAAAGUGUUCUGUGUUGUUCUUUUUUUAAGAGUGUUCUGUUUUGAGUAAUGGCAUAUAUAUAUAUAUAUAUAGAGAGAGAGAGAGUAAGGUUCGAGGGAGAACCUUACUAUCAAGAGAACUGAGAGAUCUAAUAACAACCGUAGAUAUAUCCUAAUAUUAUAAUGAUUUAAAACCCAUAAAUUUAAUGGCAUUAUUGUAAUAAUCAUGUAUAUGCUGGGUAAAUGGCUUUCUAUUUUGGACAUGAUCAGCAAAGAAUCUUUUAAACAUGGAAAUUUGAAUCACAUUUAAUUGCAUACAAAUCAAUCACAAUAAAAUUUUAAAAGGAAAGAUUAUGCAAUAUACUCAUUAUUUAGAUAUAUAGAAACACAUAUAAUACAAAACAUAAUCUUAUCUUCUACAAUCACAGACGUAGAACAACUUAGUUGCAGAAUUCCAUGAUGGAGAACAGCGAGAAAAUUACAAGGUUUGUAUUCUAUCUUAUUAAUGUUUAGUGAGUGUUUUAAUCGAUUCUGUUAACUAAUCUCUUGGCAAACAAUGAAUUUAGCACUAACUACGAUUUUUUGUUUUUAUGCUGCAGUGUAAACUGAUUUCGUUAUGUGAUGUAUUUCGGGUUUGUCAAAUGACCAAAAAGAACGGAUUACGCAGACAGUGUUUAAUUCGGUGGUUGUGUUUAAUUUGAAGGAAUACCCUUAUCAUGUGAUGAACUUCGUGGUUAAGUGAAGACGAUUGAUGUGCUGGUGCACAAGAAACAACAGCAUGCGAACAUCAUUGAUCUAGAUUCUUUAAAGAAUCAUCACCCUGCUUGAUUUCUAAACCCACACCAAAGACAACCCCGUCCCCUGUUUUCUGUCAAUUUUCGUUCGAUGGUUACCGAGUUGUUUGAGCAGUGCGUUUUCUUUUGAUUUUUUUCAGUCCUGAUGCCGAGUCGUUUUUCUGAGUUGGGGUUCGAUUUUGUGUCCUGCGUACCAAGUCAUAGCUGUCUUUGCAUUCCUUUGCAAGUUUAUGAGUCUGAGUUUGUUUAGUUUUGUAUUAGUGGAUCAUUGCAAAAAUUCAAAGUUGAUAUAACUGAAGCAACAACAGCAUGCCAACAUGUUCAUAUCUUGAUUCCCUAUGGACGGCAACAACUUAUAUGAUGGAAAGAAAAUUCAAAGUCUUGAUUUAUUGCUGGAAAGCAGAAGAAAAUUGCUAUUAUGCCGGGCAAUCACGGAACUCAUGCUGCUAAACCAAGCCAAAAGAAUAGUUAGAGGAUUUGAAUUGGCUGUUCACUGGACUCAAGAAAAUUAUAAGAAUGAUUAUGUCAUUGUACUUUGUACACGAUGAAAAUGGUAGAACUUGUUCUUAAUGACAUUUUCUAAGAAAUCUUUUUUACAAAUGUUACUUGCAUAUGAUACAGUUCUGAAGUUCUCACAAACAACUUCAACAAUAUUUUAAUUAUAAUAAAAUUUAAAAUACUAAAAUUUAUAUUAUAGAAUAUUAAUCUAAUAGGUGUUCUGUUAUCUAAUAAGCCAUAUUUGUCACACACAAAACCCCAACCAAUUACAACCAUUAUUUUAGUCAAAAUAAUAUCAAGGUUCUGCUAGAUGUUCUUACUAUUUUAUUAAUAUAUUUUUAAUUAUUCGAAAAUAAAAUUUCCUAAAAUUCUACAAGAUGUUCUGAUAUACAUUUUGAAAUAAUCUACAUAUUAAAAUAAUAUUCUAUUAAUAAUUUAUGAAUAUUUCGUUAAUAUUUCAUUAUGUGUAUUUUUAGACACAAAGUUGAAUGUCAUGAUUUCAUUUUGUGUUUUAUUAGAUAUUAUAUUGAAGAAUAUUUGUGUUAAGAGUAUAUAUUUAAUCAAUAUUAAGGAUAAUUUAACCAUGAUUCAUUUAACUAUUCUAAUAAAAAUAUAUUAAAAAAGAUUCCUUUAUGCAUUUUAAAAGACAUUAGUGUUCCUCUGUAAAAGACUUCAAUUUUUAGUAUAGAUUGUAGACUUUUUUUAUCAAGAUUCCAUUAUAUGUUUUAUUAGAUUAAAGAUGAUUUGUGUAAAUAGAAUGUAAUUAUUCCAUAUGAGUGAGCAUUUAAAUGUGAUUCUUUUAACUAUUCUUACAAAAGUCAAGUGAAUUUCUAUAUAUAUUUAAAAAUAUUUUAACUGUUUAAAUAUUAUUACUCUAGUAAUAGUAUGCAAUAUCUUUGAUAAGAUUCAAUUAUGUGUUUUCAUAGCACACUUAAAGAGAAUUUUAAAUUACAUUAAAGAUUAUUUUAGAGAACUUUUUUUUUACUAAGGAUUUUAGAGAACUUAGUUGAAUUUUAAUAUCAAUUAUAUUCUCUUAAGGAGUCUACUUGAUUACCACCGUACUUAUAAUUUUUAUCUAUAAAAGAAAAGUUGUGGAAACAAAUUACUAACUAAUUUCUCAUUACUAAAAUGAAAUAUAAUAAAUUAAGAUUUUCAUUUAUUUAAAACACUUAAAAGAAUCUCCCGACAAAUAAUAUUUCUCAAACAAAUAUUUGUGUAUUUAUUUUAAUACACAUAUAUAUUCUCUCAAAUGUUUUAAAUAAUUUAAUUUUACUACAGUUAUACUUCUUUUAUAGAUUCUUCUAAUUACUGUCAUAUCUAUCUUUUUAAAAUUAAAUAUUAAUAUAAUUAUAUUCUCCUAAAGAAUAUACUAAUUUCCAUCAUAUUUAUCUUUUUAUCUGUAAAAGAAAAGUUGUGGAAUCUAAUUACUAACUAGUUUCCCAUUAUUAAAAUAAAAUAUAAUAAAUUACAAUUUUCAUUUAUUUAAAACACUUAAGAGAAUCUCCCAACAAAUAAUAUUUUUAUAAUAAAUACUUUGUAUUUUAUUUGAAUACACAAAUAUAUUGUCUAAAUUGCUUCAAAUAAUUGAAUUUUACCAUAACUAUAUUCCUUCAAAAAAAUCUACUAAUUCAAUUCAUAUUUAUCUUUCUAAAUAAUUGAAUUUUAAUAAAAUUAUAUUUUCGUACGGAAUCUAUUAAUUACCGUCAUAUUUAUAUUUUUUAUCAGUAAAAGAAAAGUUGUGGGAUCUAAUUACUAAGUAAUUUCUCAUUAUUAAAAUAUAAAAUAAUAAAUUAAUAUUUUUAUUUAAUUCAAUAUUUAGUUGAAUUACUACAUAUUAUAAUAUACUAAGAUUCUAUAUAUGUACACUUAAAGAUUCUUGUAAAAAUUAUAUAUUUAUAUAUUAGUUUGGGUUUAGAACUUCACAUGAAAAAAAUUCUCAUUUGUGUAUUAAAUUUUGAAAUUACUUUUGAACACACACAAUUAUGCGAAAAAACAUGUAUUUAGAUUUAAACCCUAAAAAUUUAAGCAUUGGUCCUCUCUCCGACCCUAUAAAAAGAAAAUUUAAUAAUAAAUUCUAGUAUAUAUAAUAAAGUAUAAUUCAAAUUAAAUUGAGAUUCUUUAAAAUGUUAUGAGAUUCUUUAAAAUGUACGCUCAAAUAUCGAAAAAUGGAUAUAGUAGAAUUUUUAAAUAUUUAUUUAUAAAAUAGACAUAAAAUAUCUAUUUUAAGUAAUUGAAAGAAUAUUAAGACGGUGAACUAUAUUUAAGUUUUUUUAAAGAAUCUCAAAAUUUUAUAAUUGAAAAAUAAUACUAACUUAAUUUAUAUUUAAAGAGCACUUUAUAGAAUUCCUAACAAGAAAUCAUAUAAAUUUGCUAUAAUAGAUUUCGCAAAUUAAUUCUUUAACUAAAUACUUUUACAAUAUUUUGAAGAAUCUUUAUUAGAAAACACAAUUUUUUAAACAAUAUUGAAAAAGAAAUAUUUCAUGGAUAAUAAACAACUGAUUCCUUAAACGUGAUACUUACACAAUAUUUGAAAGUAUCUCUGAUGAAUAAAUAUUUUCAUCAUCAUCAAUCUUUUGAAAAUUUGAAAUUUGAAAUUCAAAGUUAAUAUACAUUAAAUUCUCUGGUUGAUUGAUUAAGAUAUGGCGAAUAUAAAUAAGGAAAUCAAUUGAUUACAUAUCUUAUUAUUUAUGUUAAUCAAAUCAUUGGUCAUAAAUGAAAAUUGAGAUUGUUUAAAAUGUUCUAAGAUUCUUUAAAAUGUACGCUCAAAUAUUGAAGAAUGGGUAUAGUAUAAUUUUUAAAUAUUUAUUUAUAAAAUUGACAUAAAACUUUUAUUUUAAGUAAUUGAAAGAAUAUUAACAUGGUGAACUAUAUUUAAGUUUUAUUAAAGAAUCUCAAAAUUUUAUUAUUGAAAAAUAAUACUAACUUAAUUUAUAUUUAAAGAGCACUUUAUAGAAUUCCUAACAAAAAAACAUAUAAGUUUGCUAUAAUAGAUUUCGCAAGUUAAUUCUGUAACUAAAUACUUUUACAAUAUUUUGAAGAAUCUUUAUUAGAAAACUAAAUAUUUAUACAAUAUUGAAAAGAAAUAUUUAAUGGAUAAUAAAGUACUGAUUUAUUAAACGUGAUAUUUACACAAUAUUUGAAGAAUAUCUGAUGAAUAAAUAUUUUCAUCAUGGUCAAUCUUUUGAAAAUUUGAAAUUUGAAAUUCAGAGUUAAUAUACAUUAAAUUCUCUGGUUGAUUGAUUAAGAUAUGGAGAAUAUAAAUAAGGAAAUCAAUUGAUUACAUAUCUUAUUAUUUAUGUUAAUCAAAUCAUUGGUCAUAAAUGAAAAUUUGCCCAUAAAAUAUUUUUUAUUGAUAUCCGAUUAUGCCCUUUACUGAAUCAUUUAUAUAUAUAUAUAUAUAUAUAUAUAUAUAUAUAUAUAUAUAUAUAUAUAUAUAAAAGGUAUAGUUCAACGAGGAACUCCCUAUCCGGGUAACCGGGUAACUUUACAUCUCAGCCAUACAAUAUGCAUGCGCUCUACUUCUGUAACUGUAUACCUGUAAACCUAAAACACCUAACCACGUGACCACUUAUUCUCAAACACAUACCACAUAUAUUUCUCUAUUCAUUAUUAUUAACAUUCUUUAUCUUUUAAUUAUAUUAUUUACAGAACAUAAGUCUAUAAAUAAAUAGUUUUAUUUAUAAUCAUAAUUUUAAUCAUUAGUUUAAAAAUAUUAUUUAUAUGUGUAAAUAUGACUGUAAUUAAUUUACAGGACACAUAUUAUAUUUUAUUUACAGAACAUAAGUUUAUAAAUAAAUAGUUUUAUUUAUAAUCAUAAUAUCGUGUUCUGUAAUUAAUUUACAGAACAUUAGUUUAAAAAUAUUAUUUANNNNNNNNNNNNNNNNNNNNNNNNNNNNNNNNNNNNNNNNNNNNNNNNNNNNNNNNNNNNNNNNNNNNNNNNNNNNNNNNNNNNNNNNNNNNNNNNNNNNNNNNNNNNNNNNNNUUAUAAUUAUCUUUAGUAUUAAUAGAUUGAAUUUUAAUUAAAUUAUAUUAUUCAACUGACUAUAUUUUCUCUCGUUUACUUGAAAAUGGACAAACCAGAAUAAAUAUAUAUAUAUAUAAAGAUUUUAGUACAUUUAAUCCGAAUUUAGUACACACAGAUUUAAAAAUAAAAAAAUCAGAAAAUUCUAAUUUUUUCCAAACAUAGCCGAUCGUGUAAUACCUUUGAAAGAUUCCGUAAUCUAAUUAAUCGAAUUUCAACGUAAUUUUGUGAUCUUGUUUUUUUUGACAACAAUAACUUUUAAUAUUAGAUUUAGAAAGGGUUAUGUAAUGAUUAUAUUGAAAUAGAACAUUUUAAAGUUAAAAAGAGUUAUACGAAAGUUCUUGUUAAAAAAAGAUAUUCAAAAUUGUAUAUUUAUAAUUUUAUUUAUAACAUCAUUAUAAUUUUUUUAAUGAAAUAUUAUAUGAUAAUGUAUUGUUAUGAGUGUUUUUAGUAUUUGAAACUGUUUAUGAUACUAAGAGACUCCAUAUUUGCAGACUUGUAGUACCAAACCAAAAAAUAUAACUAAAACCUUGGAUUACAAAUUAUACCCAUGUUGGCUUAUUAUAGUAUAGUAUAGAUUUCGAAAUUAAUUUUACAAAAGUAUAAAAGUUCAUAAAAAAUAACUUAUAAUACUUUAUCAUUAUUAUUCUAAUAAUACUUUUUCAUAUUUGAUACUCCUUCCGUCUCAAUCAUUUGUUUACCAAUGAUUUGGUCAUGGAUUUUAAGAAAUAUGUUUAAAGUAGGAAAAGAUAAAGAAAAGUGGGUGGAGUGGAGUGGUGUGAAACAUUGAUUUUAACGUAUGGAAAAGAGAUAAUGAAAUAAUGUGAAGUGAAGAAAAGUGGGAAAUUGAUCGGAUCUAUUGACUAUUUUUGAUAAGUUUUGAAAUGCAAAGAAAUUAUUCAAAAAAAAACUGUAAAAAAUGAUUGUGACAGAGUAAAUUAUAAACAUCAAAACAAUUAAAAAAUAGUUGUAAUUUUGUUUUCUAUCCGUGAGUAAUCAAAAUCGAUUUCAACUACCGACACAAAAACAUGAGAGUCCGUCAAAAAAAUGACACGAAUAUUUUCACAUUUUACGUAUUAUAUUGACCGGUUUGUCUGGUUGGUGGUAGGGGUGGCAAUCGUUUCGUUUCGUAUACUUUCGUUUCGUGUAUUUUCGUGUUUCGUGUACUCGAAGGUGAAACCCGUAUCCGCCCGUUAUUAAUUUCGUGUACCUAAUUUGAAACCCGUAUCCGUUUCGAAUCGUUUCGUGUAUAUUUCGUGUACUUUUCGUGUAUAUUAUAUAUAAAGAUAUUAAUAUAUUUUUUAAUCAAAAAAUGGAUUUAAUAUAUAUUUUCCUUUAUAAAUUUAUUAAAUGUGAAUGAUAUAUAUUAUACUUGUAUACAAUUCUUUAUAAAUUUGUUAAUGUAUCUACAAUAUAUAUCCACACAUACAUAUAAAUAUAUACUUUAUACUCAAUUAUAUAUUUAAUAUAUCAUUACAUAUAUAUAAUAAAUAUAAUCUACAAAUCUUUCGUGUAUUUCGUGUACCCCAAAUGAAAACCCAUAUCCGACACGAAAUCUAUCGUGUAAUUUCGUGUUCGUGUACUUUCGUGUUUCGUGUAUCGAAAAUCAAAACCCGUAUCCAUUUUUUUCGUGUCGUUUCGUUUCGUGUUAGCGUGUUACGUGUCAAAUUGCCAGGCCUAGUGUGUGGGCACAUGCUAGUGCGGAAUUCUAAAAGUUUGACCGGUCAUUUUUAUUACCUCUCAUAUCUUAAUAAUGAUGGAUCACUCCAUAUUAGACCUGGCAAUUCGGUACACGACACGAAAAGUUUGGGUCUGGUUUUUAAUAUUCGGUACACGAACACGAAAGUACACGAACACGAAAAGUACACGUUACUAUUAGUGUCGGGUUCGGUUUUUAAUAUAAGCACACGAACGACACGAAAGUACACGAACUAAAUAAAUAAAUAUAAAUUAAAAAAAUAUACUAUACUUAUUUAUAUAUAUUCUUUAAUCAAUUUCAGUUCUGUUAUUUCAUUUGUGUUAUCUUAUGAAUUUAUUAUAUGUCUAAUCUAUUGUUUGUCAUAGAAAAAUUGUAAAAAUAAUAAAUUUAUUGUGAAAUCCGUGUACUUUCGUGUACAAAUGUGUAUUUCGUGUACAUUUCAUCCAAACUAUUUGUGGCACACGGAAGGUAUACGAAAUUUUUCGUGUACGGUUCGUGUUGACACGAAAUAAUUUGGUUCGUGUACGUGCUGCAGAACUGGUACACGAAACCCAAACAGUUCGGGUUCGGGUUUAAGGUUCAGUACACAAAAACACGAAAGUACACGACACAAACUGUUUGCCAGAUCUACUCCAUAUUAGAGCUGAACAGAAGGACCGGCCUGCUAGGCCCAGGACCGGUCCUUAAAAAGGUCGGGCUUUUUUAAAUAAGCCUGGACCAUGCUUUUCUUGUUACCGGGCCGGGUCAGGCCUGAUAAUUUCUGAAAAUGAAGGACUAUCAUUAGCCUGGUGGAUCAGCCCAGUCUAACCGGGCUUUUGUUUCCCAAAAUAACUACAAUAUAUACAUAUUUCUGGAAAUUGCCUGCCAGGCUUUUAAGUUGGAGGAAAACUUGUUAGUCAAAAGUGGAAUCUUACUGUUUAGGUAUGUCAGUGCCAGGAUAAAGAGGAUAUUUAAGACAAUUGAAUAGGCAAAUAAUGCAAAUACACAUAUCCAGUACAUAUAUUCAUCCACAAUCACAAACAUCCCUUUGCAUAAGAACAUAAACAGGCUUUUCCAGAAAUAUCCAGGCUUUUAUUCGGCUUUUGUCGCUAAACGGGCUUUUACCCGCCAGGCUUUUAUCAGGGCUAUCAUCGGGCCGGGCCGGCCGGGCCGGAUUUUUAUCAUAAAAUUAAGGCCUUGUAAGGACUUGCAGGCCAGACUUGGACCGGUCCGGACUUUUUAUAUCCAGGCUUUAUCCGGGCUUAUCCAGAUAGGCUUUUUAGGACCGGUCUUUUUGUUCAGCUCUACUCUAUAUACAACCACCACAUCAAUCAAAAUCUCUCAAACAUAUAAAAUUCCGCGCUUAACAGGUGCUCACAGAUACAAACUAGACAAAACCACACCAGACAAACCGUAUAUGGAAUAUGAUAUUUUUUUUUAGCCUCCACUGACCUAUUACUUACUCCCUCCGUCCCAAUGAAUUAUACACAUUGGGACCGGACACGAAAACCAAGAAAAAGUGUAAGAAAUGAGUAAAGUUAGAUGUAAAGUGGGUAAAGUGGUGGGACCCACAUAUUUUUUAAUAAUAGAUUUGAAAUAGUGGAGUAAAGUAGUGGGUGUAAUAGUGUUUUUAUUAUUAUAUAAUGGAGACAGUGGGAGAAUGUAGUGGGUGUAGUAGUGUUUUAUAUUAUAAAAAGUUGCUAUUUUGAAAAUGUAUAGAAAUGAUGGGACAUCCCAAAAAGAAAACUGUAUAGAAUGAUUGGGACGGAGGGAGUAUCGGUUUAGAACGAUUUAAUCACGUCAUCUGGUUGCGUGCGUCAGUCAUUGAUAGCAACUCAUCUUAUUUGGCUGAGGAGCCAAAAAUAUCCUACAGUUUUUGACAUCCUAAAUACAAGUAUCUGGUUCAUAUCCUGCAGUAUAACAAACUUGGCUAUUUAUGCAGAAAUUAAGUUUAAUAUCGAUAAAUUCUCAAUUUAUGAUUGAAAAUAUCCGUUGAUUUUUUCAGAUAAUAAAUUUGAAAAGCCGUCACAAUUUUCUACUAACGUCGUAAAUUUCAUAUAGCAGCGCAAGUAUUAGUCAUAAGUUAUCCGUAUUAAAUAACCAUAUUUGUUGCAGUGCAGCAGGCCUAACCCCAGAGGAGGGACGAGCUAGGGUCUAGGGGCCUCAUUAUAUACAUCAGUUAUCAAAUAUCGUAUCGUUGGAUGGUGGUACGGCUUAAUUAAAAUACAUCAUGCAGAGAUCUGUUCACACUCCCCUGUCACUUGUGAUGAACCAUCAAUGUGCCAACCACAGUGUAAACAUCCAGGGGCGGAUCUAGGAUCUAAUCUUAGAGGGGACACCAAAAUAUUUUCUUAAUUAACUCAUAAGUCAUAACAGAUUGAUAAAUGUACCUGCAUGCUAGUCAAGAACCAGCAAGGCAGCAACCACAGUCUCACAAGUCACAGCCAAGCCAAAAGUAUAGUAUUUUGCGACAGUAUUUAAAUUCUUUCGCAAUCCUGGAUCAGCUUCAAGUUCAUCUACUACAGUUUCCGGGUUUAAAUCUGGUGGGUAAGAUUCAGGAACAUCUACAAUUGGAGACUCAUUUACUAUUGGCUGGGGAGGUGUUGGAGAUGAGGGGGGAGAUGUUCGGAGUUUUUUAUAGAAUCGAUGCAUAAUUGAUUAACUGUUUAACAAAUAUAGGGUUGACAUUUUAAGUAUCAACUAACGAUAAUCAAAAGCUUACAAAGUUACAGUAGGGGAAAAAUAAACACACCUUAAUUUUGUAAUCACAGAAUUGAGAAUUCCCCCUUUUCAGCUGUUGCCUGCUACUCUGCUAGCCUGCUGGUACCCAUCAGGCCAUCACCCAUGACCUAAUAAUUUGAAUUUAAAGCAUAAACACAACAGAUAUCUAUAAAUUAGACACACAGUGACAAUAUAAACAUACUUUGUUUAAUCUUUAGAUUCCGGAAUUACUCUGCAGAAGAACUGAAGAAGAAACAUCCAUGGAUUAGGCGGAGCUCGGACAGGUAAGGACAGAAAACGCAGCGCUCCACAUCAGAAGCCUCAAGCACAUAUCUAAUUAACUAGUAGCUGAUAGAUGAUUCAGUGAUUGUAUUCGGUUUGUAUUUGAUCGGUGGGUAAUUUGGAUUAAUAAAAAGGUGAGUACUUACACUAGCCAGGCACAAGCUCUGCUCGAGAGAACAGACUGCAGAGACUAAAACAUAUGUUAUAUCUAUUCAUAUUUUUAAUAUAAAUAUAUGUGUACAAAUUACCUUUUAGUUCCUUAUAAUUUUAUUAAACCACUGCAACUUACUUGAACUUUUAAAAUUCGCGGGGACACCCCUAAAUUUUCAAAUUUUUUAGGGGGACACUUAUAUUUUUUUCCCGAAAUCACGGCGGUAAUUUUUUUUUUUUUUUAAAUUAGGGGGGACACGUGUCCCCCCGUGCCCUUUACUAGAUCCCCCCUGUAAACAUCAAUGAACAAUUACGUACAGACACAGUAUUAAUGCUGGACCAAGUUCGUGCAGUUUUGGACUACUGGGAAAUAAUGGAUGCGAUCCUUUUGAACACAUUUUUACCCGCCCUUUGAGUGGUGCAGAAUAGAUCAGGAGAGAACGAUUAGUGUGAAAAAAUGGGGAUGACAAACCCGUCAAAGAGGAAAUUAAAAAGCCAAUUUCUUCGCUCUCUUUUUUAUAAUAAAAUAUGAUUGUAUAAUUUAUUUUUAAUCUUUUAAAUAAAAAUUAUAAAUUUAAAUUUUAUUAAAAAAAUAUUUAGAAAAGUUUAUAAAAUUAUACUUAGCCUCAGCUCAUCUAAUAAUAUCAUGAUAGGCCAUAUAUAUUGUGCAUGUUUGAAGUUUGAUAAUAGAAGCAGAAGUUUUUGUUUUAGAUUUUUAAAGUAAGUCAGAAAUACUUGUUUUCUUAAAGAUUUUUUUAAGUGAUUUAUAUUUUAUUAUGAAAUUUCUAAAUUUUUUAAAGUGUAAUAAAUUUUAUUUAUGAGUAAUGUUUCUUGUAUUUUAAUAUUUUAUAUUAAAAUUUAUAAAUUUAAAAACCAAAUACUCAAUUAACUUAUAAGUAAAUUUAUUCACAUAUAUUUAAUAAUUAGUAAGUUAGAUUCACUUAUCAUUUAUAAUUUAAUUCUUAAUUACAUUUAAUUUUUGACUUUUUGCGUGUACACUGAUCGCGUAGUUUUAUUAAUUAAUUAUAUUUUUUCUAUACAAAUAUUUAUAUAUUAAAUUUUAUUUAUAAGAAUAAAUUAAAAAAAUAAAUUACUAGAGAGGUGCUUAAACUGUUCUAAAAUGGCCUGGCCGGUAAUGACACCGAAAAAGAGAAGUAAUUUAAAUUUACUGGAACUUCCCAUUAUUUAUACAAUACAAGAUUCUAUAAGAUUCUAUAAUAUUUGUUUAUGAUAUAUUUAAUCUGUAAAUAUAUUCAUUUGCAAUAAUGUUUUAAUUUUGAGUUGACAAAAAUAUAAGUAACAUAUAUUGCUAUUUUUUUAAGUUGGUUCAAUUACUGAAUAACUCCACAAUUAAAUAGACUAGCUUAGAUCCGGUGAUUCACAAUAUUUACUCUAAACUUAAAUAUAGGGAAAUCUACAAAACUACCUACCUUUUCUUUUAUUGUUUUCAAAAAUACUAUUUUUCAGAAUUAUUUUUAAAAAUACCUUUUCAUAAAAAAAAAAUUCAAAAAUACCGUUUGCAACUUUUGAAACCUCAUCUGCAACUCCAGGCGGCGCCAGCCGUGUUGCAACCUCUUUUGCAACUUCAUAUGCAACCGAAUUCCUGAUUUCAAGUUCCAGUUUUCAAAUGUCUACUGGAACUUGAAAGCAGGAAUUGUAAUUGCAUAUAUGGUUGCAUAUGGUUGUAUUCAGUUGCAUAUGGCUGCAUUCAGUUGAUUCUAUUGCAAUCUAAUGGCCCCGCCAGGGGCACAUCAUACAUCUGUUGUUACUUACAGUUUUCAGUUGCAUUUAGUUGCAACUGAGGUUGCAAAUGAAGUUUCAACUUCAUUUGCAGCCUCAUUUGCAACUUUUGCAACCUCAUUUGCAACUUACAGUUUUCAGUUGAACUAGUUGCAAUUGCAGUUGCAACUUUCUAUUUUUAUUUGCAACUUUUGCAACCUCAUUUGCAACUUUUGCGGCUGCGCCGCCCAAGGCAGUUGCAAAAGUUGCAACUUCAUUUGCAACCUCAUUUGUAAAUUUUUUUUUAUGAAAAUGUAUUUUUAAAAACAAUGAAAAAGAUGGUAGUAUUUUUAAAAAAAUAAUUUUACAGAUGGGUAUUUUUAAAAAAAUCCCUUAAAUAUAUUAACAUUUAUUUUAUCCCACUAAAUAUGCAAACUCUCGUAAUUAUUAUCUGAAAAUUUAUUACACUUCCCUUCCAUAAAAACUAUCUAGGAAGUUUAAUAAACAUGUUUGGUUGACAAAAUUAUAUCGGAAGUCUAAUAAACAUAUUUGGUUGAUAAAAGUGAAUUCUAUACUAAUUAUGUUAAUUAUUUUGUUUAACUAAAUUUAAAAUUUAUUAUUAUUAAAUUUUGAAUAACAUUUUUAUCCUUUAAUUUAUUAUAAAAAUAAUUUGAUCAAUAUUUUUAUAUAUUAUUAUUCCUUAUUAUAACAUUGACCUAAGAUGUAUUUUAUAUAAAUAUUUACAUAUUAUUUUAUUAAACAAAUUAGGUAUUCAAUUUAUCCCUGACUUUUGAUAUUUAUAAGGUUUUGACAAUAUAAUAUUAUUAAUAUGUUGUCAUUUUCUUUUUAUUAUUUUAUUAGAUUAAAUGAACAUAUUUUACAAUUUUGUUAAUGAAGAAAUACAAUUUAACAAUUAUAUUUUCAGUUACAUAAAAUAACAAUAAAAAUAACAAUCCUAUAAUUUUUUGAAAUUUACUAAUUAUUUCUACUAUUAUACGUGUCAAUAUAUUAUUUUAGAGCAACUAAUGUUUUUUCCCGGUAUAUUAAAUAAAAAUUAAAUUUACGCGUGUCCCAGAAUAAUAUUUUAAGUUGCACAUAAUGAAUAAAUAAAUAAAAUAAUUAUAAUUUUUAAAUUUAAUUAAUUAUUAUUAAUAUUAUAUGUAUUAGUAUAUUAUUUCAGAGUGGAUUAUGUAGUUUUAUGUUAUAUUACAAAAAAUUUAAAUUAAGUACGUGAUGCAGGAAGUCUGAGUAACGAGGGGGGAGUGGGCAAGUAAAUUCCUACGUUCUACAGCUAAUGUAACUUCCUGGUGACUUCAACUUCCUGUGUUUUAGGUCAACCAAACAACUGCAUAUAUUAGCACUUCUUAGGUAUUUUAAAUACCUGACUAAUUUCUGGUCUACCAAACGACCUCUUAGUACUUGACCUGUAUCCUUGCCUUGUGUGCAUGUUAUAUUUGAUCCCGGGCAGAUCAUGGCUUGCGUGUGGUUUUUUCUAAGGGCUUACAUGUGUUGGCCAACAAUAACAUGUUUUAUUUGGAAAGGAAAAAAAUUUAGAGCCGUUCACGAGAGCGAACAAGCUUGAGCUCGACUCGAUAAAAGCUCGGUUCGACUCAGUUCGUUAAGAAUUCGAGUUCGAGCUCGAACACAUAAAUGUGUUCGUUAAGAAAACGAGCUCGAGCCGAGCUUUUAGUGUGUUCGGCUCAAGCUCGGCUCGUUAAAACUCGAAAAAACACAAUAUUUUUAGGGUAAUUUCGUAAUAUAACAUGUUAUUGAACGCCGAUUUCAACAUAUAAUAUAUCAAAUCGAUCAGAAGAAUAUUAACUAUAAUAUGGUACAAUCAAAACACACUAAAAAUUUAUUUGGCUUGCUAUUUUAAGAGUUAAGUAGCGAUUUGACCUUAUUUUUAUUUUUUUCUGACUCGGCUCGGCUCGGCUCGACUCGUAUGUGUUCAUGAACAAGCUCGUGUUCGGCUCAUUAGUUAAUGAGCUCGAGCUCGAACACAAUUUUUUGUUCGAUAAGAAAGCUCGGCUCGGUUCGAUAGGAAAAAUUUAAAACUCGGCUCGGCUCUGUUCGCAAACAGCCCUGGGAAAAAUUCCUUCCAAUCGUGGUUAAAUUCCCGUAUCCUUUUCAAUGUCAUUUACCACACCAGUUCAGAACGAUUUGAUCACGUCUUCCGGUUGCGUGCCAAGUCUAUGAUAGCAAAUCAUUUUAUUUGGCAAGGAUAUCCCACAGUGUUUGGCAUCCGAAAUACAAGUAUUCCUUUCCUGGUCCAUGUACAGCAUGCCUAACCCUGGGGGAGGGACGGUUUCGGGGCCUCAGGGGAGGGAGGGACGAGUUCGGGGGCCUCAAGGUAUAUCAUUUACUAUCAAACAUCAAAUUGGUGAACGCUGGUACGUAGUCAGCGGCUUAAAAUAAAUCAUGCAGAGAUCUGUUCACACUCCACAGUGUGAUGAACCAUAAUGUGCCAACCAUAGUGUAAACAUAAACAUUAUUCCAUUUAUUCGUGCAAUCAAUGAACAAUUAUGUACAGACACAGUAUUAAUGCUAGACCAAGUUUGUGACAGAGAAAGCAGUGGACGGAAUAACUGACAGUUUUGGACUACUGGGAAGUAAUCGAAGUGAUCCUUUUAAACUCAUCUACCCACCCUUUGAGUGGAGUAGAAUAGAUGAGGAUCGAUAGAAGGAUUAAUGUGAUAAAAAUGGGAUGGCAAACCCCGUCAAAAAGGAUAAAACCCAUUUCUUUAAUUUUUUUUAUGAAAUAUGCUUGCAUAAUUUGUUUCUAAAUCUUUUUAUAUUAGAGUUUAUAGAUAAAAUUAUUAUUCAAAAAUAUAUUUAAAAGCUAUAUUUUAUAAAAUGCGUGCCAAAUAAUUUAUCCCGACAUAAACAAUAUUUGCAUUGUUUGUGUAACGAACUUAUAAGUCAAUUUCCCACUGAUAAGUCAGAAUGUGAGCGGUUGAAAAUUCUAAUUUUUUUAGUGAUUUUUUUUAUCAAUAAAAUUUGAUUUUACAAAUAUGUAGUGGAUCAUUUCAAAAGAUAAUUUAUAAUAAUUUAUUGUUAUAUUAAUAAUUUUUAUAUUUAAUAAAUUGUAAAUAUCAAAAAAAAUUAUUCAAAUAAACAAAAUAGACAUUACUUUUUACUUAUAAUUAAAUUAUCAUUUAUAAAUAAUAAUUAAAUUUCCUUUUUGAAAAAUUAAAUAUUUUUUUAAUUAUGCCAAACAAUCCUUCUCGGCUUGCACGUGUUACACAACAUUAAUAUGUUUUAUUUGAAAGGAUAGUCUAUAAUUCCUUCCAACCAUUUUAGCGGCUAAAAAAGGAUAGAAACGAUCAAAGUCAAUCAUAUUGGAAAAAGAAAGUGUGUAUAUUUAAAGAAAAUGAAAAUGAUUUGUGGUUAAAAAAAAGUUGAUUAUAAUUAAGAUGUAAAUAAGUUAAUAAGAUGUUUGAAAAGACAUCAGAAGCCUUACCUUCUUAAAGUUUUUCUACCUUUUGCAGCCCAUGUCAUUCAUUCUAUCACUUACAAAUAGAGUAAUUAUAAUUUAGCACAUGUGAUCACAAUUAAAUUUAAUUUACUAUAUCUUAAUAUUGUAGUUUAUAAUUAAAAGUCUAAAACACUUAUAUCAAUAUUUAUAUUACACAUUUAUAUCAAACUUAUAUAUAAUUAUUUCAAUAAUCUACAUCUAUAUGUUUCAUUAUUAUUUUGUUAAUCCAUCAUUAUAGAAUAAUAAUUAGGUAUCAAAGUCAAAGCAACAAUUAAACAUAUCACCUUGAACCGUUAUUAAAAAAAUAUAAAUAUAUAAAAAUAAUAUAAAUAGUCAAUCAAAAUAUAAAUAAUAUAAUAAUAAAUAUUGAACUUGCAGUAAACUAAUAUAAUGAAUAAUUAAACAUAAUUAUACAAAAAAAAAUAUCCACACUUGUCAUUAUCUUAUCUAGAAGGCAGAUAAAUUUAAAACGGCUAAAUUCAAAGAAAUUUUGUUUUAUUCAAUCACAAUAGAGUGUUUUUACUUUGGGGCAGAACAUUGCGUGCCUGCGAGGCACUCUGUCUGAUUUGCAUCCAUUCAUUUUAAAAAUAUCAAGAACCGUACAACAAAAAUUUAACAUCUUUAAUGUUCUAUAUAUAUAUAGAACACAUACUAAAGUUACAAUUAUAUACUGAAGAAAAAACUGAAAAGGAUUAGAAAUGGAAAGCACCAGUUCUUUUAGCUGGCUGACCGCUUCUCUUUUAGCUGCAAUUGUUACUGUUAUGCUGAAAUGGAUGCAUGCAAGUUUUUUUUCAACUAAACAGAAGCCACCAGGUCCGUUAGCAUGGCCCCUGAUUGGAAAUAUUUUCGAUCUUGGAAGCAUGCCACACCAGAGCCUAUACAAACUUCGGUGGAGAUAUGGACCUGUGAUUUGGUUGAAGCUCGGUUUAGUGAAUACCAUGGUCAUACAAUCAGCCAAAGCUGCAGCCGAGCUGUUCAAGAACCAUGACGCCGUCUUCUCUGAUCGUAAGGUCUUUGAUGCACUAACAGCCUGGAACUACAACCAAGGGUCAUUAGCCAUGGGCAAUUACGGUCCAUAUUGGCGCACAGUCCGAAAACUCUGCUCCAUGGAGCUCCUAGUCAAUAGACGAGUCAAUGAUUCAACUGAGAUCCGGGAGAAGUGUGUUGAUAAGCUAGUUUGCUGGAUAGAACAGAUCAUUGCAUCCUCGCAAGUUGAGGGAAAAUCAGGCGAGGUGGAACUGUCCGAACUCUUAUUUCUCAUGGCAUUUAACGUGGUGGGCAACCUCAUGCUUUCAAAAGAUCUUCUGGAUUUAUCUUCCACUGAAGGACGAGAAUUCUUCGAUGCAAUGAACCAAGUCACGAAAUGGGCGGGGACACCUAACUUGGCAGACUUCCUGCCAUUCUUGAAGCCGUUUGAUCCAUUCAGAGUUCGAAAAAAUAUGGCUAAAGGCAUGGGCGUAGCCAUCAAUAUCAUAAGCAGCUUUCUGAAAGAAAGGGGUCAUGAAACUAUGUCGACGGAGAAGGUGAAGAAGGACUUCUUGGAUGUCCUUUUGGAGUAUCAAGGGGACGGAAAAGAAGGACCGGACAAAAUUUCUGAUAAGAAUAUAAUUAUCAUAAUACUGGUAACAAAAUCCUUUCAUUUAAACUUUCUUCUUUUCAGUUGAAUUCCUAGUUAAAUAUAAGUUCUACUUUUCUAAACCCAUUUGUGUAAAAAAGUUAUAAAUACUUAUAAAAAGUUGAGAAUGUUAGUUUUCUUUUCUCGGCUUCUACUUCUUUUGAAACAGUUUAAUAACUUAUAAAUCUAAACUUCUUUCUCACUUAUACUCCAAUUUUUUAGUUUAAGUAAAAGUCACUUCUUUUAAGCUAAACCAAACGGUCCCUUUAUCGCUAUGAGUUCAUCUUAGUUAGGUUGUGGUAGUUUGUUCAUUGUUGCAUCAGUUAUUGAGAGCCGGUAGUUGUUGCAGGAAAUGUUUUUCGCUGGGUCAGAAACUACAAGCAGUAGCAUAGAAUGGGCAAUGGCAGAGCUAUUACGCAACCCUGAAUCGAUGAGGAAGGUCAAAGAAGAACUUGACAGUGUUAUCAUGCCUAACAAAAGGGUGAUGGAGAGUGACAUCGAUAAACUACCCUAUCUGCAAGCCGUGGUAAAGGAAAGCCUGAGACUCCACCCGACAGUCCCUUUACUGCUCCCACGAAAUUCAAUGGAAGACACCAAUUUCAUGGGGUAUCACAUACCCAAAAACACCCAAGUUUUUGUCAAUGUGUGGGCAAUCGGAAGGGACCCUGAUACAUGGGACGACCCCUCGUCUUUCAAGCCCGAAAGGUUUAUAGGCUCGAAUAUCCAUUACAAAGGGCAGCACUAUGAGUUGCUUCCGUUUGGCUCUGGGAGACGGAUUUGUGUUGGAAUGGCCCUGGCUCACCGAGUUCUUCACCUAACUUUGGCCACCUUGCUUUGGACUUUCGACUGGGAGCUUGGCAACUCCCUUACUCCACAGACUAUCAACAUGGCCGAGAGGACUGGUAUAACACUAAGAAUGUCGGAACCUCUUAAAGCAAUUCCGAGAAAAAUCAAUCGGACGUGAUGGCCAUUAUGUGUGAAGGUGAUACGGACAUUUGCACAUUACACGGCUGCUUUGUUGUCAAGUAUAAUUUCAAUUCUUAAGUUCCUUUGUCUAGAAAAAAUGUCUACGUACUUGAUAAAGUUUCUUCUUCUUUAUUUUCGCAAAUAGAUGUGUCUAAUUAUCGCAAAGAAAUUCUUCUUUGUUAUUAUGUGUAUAUUAGCUAUCAACCAAUAAUUAAAUGUAGUGUACUACAAGAUUGUUGUAUAUUGAACAGUGUCACCAUACUCCAGCCUUCGAAUAUAGUAGUUGCUUAAACUAUUCAACGAACAAUAAGUAUUAAGCAGGAUGAACCGAGAACAUGCUGGCAGAGGGCCAUCCUGAGUUACAAUACGGCCAUUAACUUUUUGCUACUGUAAUAACUGAAGUCCGAAUUUCGGAUCGGAUUCGGGUAUAUUACCCGGAACCCGAAUUUUUUUUCAAAGUACCUAUAAACAUAAGUUUCAAAGUACAGUAAUAAAAAAAAUUCAUGUCAAACUUGGAAGCUUAACGUUUUACAAACUUGAAAUAAGUAAUGACCAAAAUCUCAAUCUCAAGGAGACCAUAAAAACUACUCCAUAGAAGGUGAUAUAUUCUAAGAGCUCAGCCUUGCUUUUUUUAUGCUUCUUUGGUGAUCUUAGAGUAGUAUGCCCAAUCAGAAUGAGAGGAUGUUAUUGCAGGCUGUCCAAAAGGAUUAUCUUGAACAUAAGAAGGAGCAUUGGCUGCUUCAACAAGGCCAUCUAGGAACAACUGCAGCUCCCCGGCCCUCUGGACCAAGGCUACUUCUCCAAGGAUAAAUCAAAAGUAACCUCUGGUUUCUCCUCAACAUCGUCACUGCUUUCAUUUGAAUCUAAAACGUUUUUCUGUUUCAAAUUUGUCUGCAUUGAUGCCAUGAUAUGAAAUCUUAGAGAUACUAAUGGUUGUCAGAUUGGUCAGGGACUUCUGCUCCAUAUAUGACAGAACUGCAUUGUUAGGCACAUGCAUAUAAAUAGAAGGAGGUUUUACUAAAAUCAUACACAAGAUUUUGUAAAUAGAAUAUGGUACUUAUUAUAAAAUUCAUAAUUAUUUUCCCUCUUUCUAUUUUCUGUUUAGUUAUUUUGAAAUAGCAUACACAAAUUAUUAAAUGUAUAUAUAUGUAUAUAAUACAUGCCGUUAUAUGAUAACGGAUUACCAGAAACUAAUCCAGUGUUGUCACUACUAUCAAAUACACCAGUUUAGAACGAUUUGAUCACGUCUUCCAGUUGCGUGCCUUAGUCUGUGAUAGCAAACCCGCACGGACCCAAGAUCAACUUCGCUCUGGGCUGUGGCCAAACCGGCACGGAUUUAUUUUGGACUCCUCCCAAUAGUUCUCAUACUACGGAGUUCUUUGGCCGCUUAUAUUUUAGAUAAUUAAAUCUUAUUUAUCAUUCCGAUUCGAGACUUGAGUUGGGAAGCACGAAUUAGGGGGCCUCAAGAUAUAUCAAUUACUAUCAAACAUCAAAUUUUGGUGGACGCUGGUAUGUAGUUAGCGGCUUAAAAUAAAUCAUGCAGAGAUCCGUUCACACUCCACAGUCACUUGUGAUGAACCAUAAAUGUGCCAACCAUAGUGUAAACAUAAAUAUUAUUCCAUUUAAUCUUGCAAUCAAUGAACAAUUAUCUACAGACACAGUUUUAAUUCUAGACCAAGUUUGUGACGGAGAAAGCAGAAGACGGAAUAACGACAGUUUUGGACUACUGGAAAGUGGAAAGUAAUGGAAGUGAUCUUUUUAAACUCAUUUACCCACCCUUUGAGGGGAGGUGAUGAGCUGAGGGCUUAAAAUGCCUAUUUGAGUAAUUUUGGCUUAUUAAUAACUUAUUAAUUAUUAAAAAUAUAAUAAUAAAAAUAAAAAUUAUGAGUAAUGAUUUAGGAGUAAUUUUUAUAAAAGAAAAUUCAAAAAAUUUAAUCACUAAAAAAAGUAUUUCAAACUAACUUUAGUUUUAAGUUGAGUUCUGUCUUAAUUCUUUUAAACUGACAUCUAACUUAUUAUACAAACAAACAUUUUUUAACUUAAAGUUCAUCAGAGAUAACCUAAAAUCCAGAAUUUUUCGUAAAAAAAAUAAUCUAGAUUUUAAUCCCAGAUAAACACGCUCCAGAUCCCUUUUUGAGUGGAGUAGAAUUAGACGAGGAUCGAUAAAAGGAUUAGUGUGAUAAAAAUGGGAUGGCCAAACCCCGUCAAAAAGGAAAAAACCCAUUUGUUUAAUUCUUUUUAUAUGAAAUAUGGUUGCAUAAUUUGUUUUUAAAUCUUUUUAUAUUAAAGUUUAUGAAUAAAAUUUUUAUUCAAAAAAAUGUUUAAAAACUAUAUUUUAUAAAAUGCGUGUCAAAUACUUUGUCCUAACAUAAACAAUAUUUGGAUUGUUUUCGUGACGAACUUAUAAGUCAAUUUCCCACUGAUAAGUCAGAAUGUGAACGGUUGAAAAUUCUAAUUUUUUUAGUGAUUUAUUUUUAUUUUUAAAACUUGGUUUUACAAAUAUGUAGAGGAUCAUCUUAAAAGAUUAUUUAUAAUAAUUUAUUAUUAUAUUAAUAAUUUUUAUAUUCAAUAAAUUGUAAAUAUCAAAAAAAAUUAUUCAAAUAAACAAAAUAGACAUGAUUUUUUACGUAUAAGCCCAGUGAUGGGUUUAUCCUCUGUUGACCCGGGGCACCCGGGUUCGACUCUGGCUCACCCCGAGAAUUAUUAGAACAGAUACUAAGUUGUAAGGCAUAUAAGCCUGCAUUGUCAACAAAAAAAAAAAAAAAAAUUCUCAUUCAUAAAUAAUAAUUAAAUAUUUUUUUAAUUAUGCCAAACAAUCCUUCUCGUGAAUGCAAAUCAGAUUAUGGCUUGCUUGUUCUUUUUCCCGAGGGCUUGCACGUGUUACUCAACAUUAACAUGUUUUAUUUGAAAGGAUAGUCUAUAAUUCCUUCCGGGACUAAUCGAACCGAGUCGAACACUGUCAGGCUUGGUUCGAACUCGACUGAAAAAUUUAGGACUUAGAAUUCGAGUUGGAGUUCGACCGAAUUUUUAAUUUUAAGUUUGAAACUCGGGUCAUACACAGUUUGAUAGGCUCGAGUUCGACUCGAAAGCUCGAAUUGAGCCACAAAAUAUUGACAAAAACUUGAAAUAUGAUUGGUUUGACUCGAGUUCGAUUCGAUUAAUUAAAUGAAUUAUAAAUGAAAAAUUAAAUAUAUUUGUAAAAAUAUAUUUAUAAUAAAAAAAUUAAUAAAUAAGAGAGGCUUGAUAACUCGUGAACCUUACGAGUCCAGUAAAUUGAAGCUCGAACUCGGCUCGGUAAAACAUCCAAAUAGCUCGAGCUAGAUUAUUACCGAAUCAAAUUCAAAUUAUUUUACCAGCCGCGCAAGCACGAGUAGCUCACGAACAGUUUGGUUUAUUCACACCCUACUUCCAAUCAUUUUAGCGGCGAAAAAGGAUGUUAACUAUGAAAGACAAAUCAUAUGACUGAGAAUUCUGCUACAAACAAUACAACAUUAAAAAAACACUACACCAUAUUUGGUCUAUCCUAACAUUACAAACUGAUGUUGCCACCUAAAAUGUUGCCUUAGAUGCUUAAAAUUUGAUUGAAGCAGGUGUAUGCCACCAUCGCAUUUUCGGUGUUGCCAUUAAUAAGAUAAAUGUUGUCAUAACUAAAACAAACCCUCAAUGCCAACAUUUUGUGCGAUGUUACCUUAAAGAUGUGUUAAAAUUAAUAGGAGGGAAACAACCCGCCUUUUCAACUCUGAAUUUUUUAAAAAUAAAUUAAGCAACCGCCCAUCCCAUCACUCACACAGAUAAAACAUAACAAUAAAAUUAAAACUAAAACCAAUUCUUUCUCUCGGCUCACUCUCGCUCUCUCUCGCAUCUCGUGGGUUUAUCCUCUGUUGACCCGGGGCACCCGGGUUCGACUCUGGCUCACCCCGAGAAUUAUUAGAACAGAUACUAAGUUGUAAGGCAUAUAAGCCUGCAUUGUCAACAUAUUAGAACAGAUACUAAGUUGUAAGGCAUAUAAGCCUGCAUUGUCAACAAAAAAAAAAAAAAAAAUUCUCAUUCAUAAAUAAUAAUUAAAUAUUUUUUUAAUUAUGCCAAACAAUCCUUCUCGUGAAUGCAAAUCAGAUUAUGGCUUGCUUGUUCUUUUUCCCGAGGGCUUGCACGUGUUACUCAACAUUAACAUGUUUUAUUUGAAAGGAUAGUCUAUAAUUCCUUCCGGGACUAAUCGAACCGAGUCGAACACUGUCAGGCUUGGUUCGAACUCGACUGAAAAAUUUAGGACUUAGAAUUCGAGUUGGAGUUCGACCGAAUUUUUAAUUUUAAGUUUGAAACUCGGGUCAUACACAGUUUGAUAGGCUCGAGUUCGACUCGAAAGCUCGAAUUGAGCCACAAAAUAUUGACAAAAACUUGAAAUAUGAUUGGUUUGACUCGAGUUCGAUUCGAUUAAUUAAAUGAAUUAUAAAUGAAAAAUUAAAUAUAUUUGUAAAAAUAUAUUUAUAAUAAAAAAAUUAAUAAAUAAGAGAGGCUUGAUAACUCGUGAACCUUACGAGUCCAGUAAAUUGAAGCUCGAACUCGGCUCGGUAAAACNNNNNNNNNNNNNNNNNNNNNNNNNNNNNNNNNNNNNNNNNNNNNNNNNNNNNNNNNNNNNNNNNNNNNNNNNNNNNNNNNNNNNNNNNNNNNNNNNNNNNNNNNNNNNNNNNNNNNNNNNNNNNNNNNNNNNNNNNNNNNNNNNNNNNNNNNNNNNNNNNNNNNNNNNNNNNNNNNNNNNNNNNNNNNNNNNNNNNNNNNNNNNNNNNNNNNNNNNNNNNNNNNNNNNNNNNNNNNNNNNNNNNNNNNNNNNNNNNNNNNNNNNNNNNNNNNNNNNNNNNNNNNNNNNNNNNNNNNNNNNNNNNNNNNNNNNNNNNNNNNNNNNNNNNNNNNNNNNNNNNNNNNNNNNNNNNNNNNNNNNNNNNNNNNNNNNNNNNNNNNNNNNNNNNNNNNNNNNNNNNNNNNNNNNNNNNNNNNNNNNNNNNNNNNNNNNNNNNNNNNNNNNNNNNNNNNNNNNNNNNNNNNNNNNNNNNNNNNNNNNNNNNNNNNNNNNNNNNNNNNNNNNNNNNNNNNNNNNNNNNNNNNNNNNNNNNNNNNNNNNNNNNNNNNNNNNNNNNNNNNNNNNNNNNNNNNNNNNNNNNNNNNNNNAGGGAUAUACAAGAGACUUAUCUUCUCUUGAUCAUGAAGGAAGAAGACAUACUAAAGGUUCUUCGAUUGUUUGAAGGAGACACUGAAAGAAAAAAUAUUAGUGAAGUAUAUAUCUUUAAGGAAGUGGAUGGUAAUAUAAUGAUUUAUUCUUGCUCUGUUUCACAUUUUCAGAUUUAAAUAUAUUUGUAAAAAUAUAUUUAUAAUAAAAAAAUUAAUAAAUAAGAGAGGCUUGAUAACUCGUGAACCUUACGAGUCCAGUAAAUUGAAGCUCGAACUCGGCUCGGUAAAACAUCCAAAUAGCUCGAGCUAGAUUAUUACCGAAUCAAAUUCAAAUUAUUUUACCAGCCGCGCAAGCACGAGUAGCUCACGAACAGUUUGGUUUAUUCACACCCUACUUCCAAUCAUUUUAGCGGCGAAAAAGGAUGUUAACUAUGAAAGACAAAUCAUAUGACUGAGAAUUCUGCUACAAACAAUACAACAUUAAAAAAACACUACACCAUAUUUGGUCUAUCCUAACAUUACAAACUGAUGUUGCCACCUAAAAUGUUGCCUUAGAUGCUUAAAAUUUGAUUGAAGCAGGUGUAUGCCACCAUCGCAUUUUCGGUGUUGCCAUUAAUAAGAUAAAUGUUGUCAUAACUAAAACAAACCCUCAAUGCCAACAUUUUGUGCGAUGUUACCUUAAAGAUGUGUUAAAAUUAAUAGGAGGGAAACAACCCGCCUUUUCAACUCUGAAUUUUUUAAAAAUAAAUUAAGUAACCGCCCAUCCCAUCACUCACACAGAUAAAACAUAACAAUAAAAUUAAAACUAAAACCAAUUCUUUCUCUCGGCUCACUCUCGCUCUCUCUCGCAUCUCUCACUAUCUAUCUCGCAUCUCUCGCAUUUCACAUCUCUCAUUCAUCUCUCCCAUCUCAUUCUUUCAUUCCUUUCAUCUCUCUCAUCUCACUCUUUCAUCUCUCGAAGCUUGUCUCGGAGCUUAUCUCGCUGCUUAUACAAGGAAAGGGUCCGACGAUUAUAUACAGGAAGCUUAUCUCGGUGUUUUAGUUCUUGUCUCGGAGCUCAGUAACUUUCUUCUCGUAGCUUGAAUUUGGUCCGACUAUAACAUUAUAAGGUAUUUCUCUAAAUUAAUUUUGUUAAUUUGGGGGUUUUAAAACCCUAACUGUAAAUUCGUAAUUUGGAGGUUCUAAUAUAAAUAAUGUUAGAUCAUUCGAUGUUCAUGGUACCACUUAUACGUGUUUGCACACCAUCUGUUUGAUUAAGUGCCCGUGAGUAGGUUUUAUUCAAGAUUUUCGGUACAAAUGAAUCAUGUGUUCGUGUGUUGCUAAUGGUGCUGUUAAUUCAAACAGUGAGUAACUUUUCUCGAUGUAUAUAUUUGCGGGAAGUUAAAUGUUAGAUUAUAUGCUAGAAACCGAUGAAGAAGGGCUAGGGUUGCUAACUAAUUAACUCAUCUUAUGAUUAUUUAGAACUGCGUUAUGCUAAAAAAGAUAUCAUGCUCUAAUGCUCCCCCCUAUCAUCAUGUACGUAUAAAACUGUACUCUGAGAGUAUAUUUGCUGAUAUGUUUCUUUUCAGCACAAGGUUACACACCAUUUCUAGUGCACUUGACAAUGGUAAUUUUGACGAUAAGCAACAGACUAAAUAUCUUAUUUUUAAGGUCUACAAGAAUUUAAUGAACAAAGAGCUUAGGUAAUUACUAAUAUCUUCAUUUUCACACAAGCAAACCUUUCUCUGUUUUUUUCUAAUAAUUAACUUGAAAUUUUACUUAAUUUAUUGUUAAAUAGGGAUAUACAAGAGACUUAUCUUCUCUUGAUCAUGAAGGAAGAAGACAUACUAAAGGUUCUUCGAUUGUUUGAAGGAGCCACAGAAAGAAAAAAUAUUAGUGAAGUAUAUAUCUUUAAGGAAAUGGAUGGUAAUAUAAUGAUUUAUUCUUAAUCUGUUUCAUAUUUUCAGAUUGAUAUGUAUCGCCCAUGUAUCAAUACCAGUAUCCUCGCCAUAUCCAUGAAUUGCACGCUAUACACAAAGUGGAAUUUGAUUAGAGUUUUUAAUCUUAAGAGCAUAAUAUGCCUGUUUUACAGGUAGCGAAAACUCAUGGUUUUUCUCUUAAAUAAUAUUAGCAUGUCAUACAUCAUUUGAAGAAAAUUAUCUUGGUGAACCUAUCCUUCCUGGUUGCUCUUGCCUGGUGCCUUUUGAUGGGCAACAGAACAUCCAAUAUUUAAGGUACAAUUCGUCGUCUCAUCUAUUAGUACUAGCAUAUAUGUCUGACGAUUAUCGGAAUAUCAUUUGUGAAGGAAUCAUGCAAGCUAUUGUGAUGCACCCGUUUGACAUAGGCGACCACUACAUCAUUAAUAACGACCAGGUGAAUCAAUAUCUCUUCAAUUUCAGAUUAGAGUUUCUAUAAGAUAUACCUUUUAAUUUUUCCUAAUGUAUAAAAUACUUCACAGUUGGUCGUUGAAGAAAUGGGGCUAACAUAUAUAUUUUUCUUGAAGGAAAAAUAAUGAGAAGAUAAAUUAUCCGAAUUUCGUGUUACUUUCGAAAUGGUGACUAUUUUGAUNUGUUAAUUUGGGGGUUUUAAAACCCUAACUGUAAAUUCGUAAUUUGGAGGUUCUAAUAUAAAUAAUGUUAGAUCAUUCGAUGUUCAUGGUACCACUUAUNAAAUUCCAGAAUUGAAGCUCGAUAUUGUAGAGCUAACUGCUGCAGUGCCGAAUGCUUCAGCCGUAGGUGAUCACCAUGACGACAUUACUUCAUAAAAUUUGGUCUGUGGAAUUUUAGUAUUGUGAUAAUAUUUUAGUAUCGAUAGAAUUUUAGUAUUUGCAGAAUUUUAGUAAGUUGUAGUAAAAUUAUGUGGAAUUUGUAUUGUGGAGUUUGGAUUUAACUAUGUUAUGGCUUGUUGGUUUAGUCAAUAUUAUUUAACGUUUGCAAUUAGGUUUCGGAAUGGAUGAUUGGUUUUGAUUAUUAUAUAUACAAACAAAAUCUUUCAAAUAAUAAAUAUAUUGCCAUGGACAGAUUAAAUGUUGGCAAAAACAUAAAAUGUUACUUGAAAUGUUGUUGCAGUAUUGUAAAAAACGAUGUUGCCAUAUAUUAUAUGGCAACACAGAGAAGGUGUUGCCAUUAUAAACAGAUGUUGUCAUACGAUUUAGAGCAACACACACCAACCAUGUUGCUAAUGACAAAAUAAUGUUGGCAUAAGGUUUACGGCAACAUAAAAAAUCGUGUUGUCAUAAACUGGAAAAAGUGUUGGCAUAACCUCUAUGCCCACAUCGAUUUUCCUAACACCUUCAAAUUUGAACAAAAUGUUGUCAAAAACACAAUGGCAACAUAAAUUGCAGUUUUAGCAACUAAUUUUGGGUGUUAGGAUAGACCAUAUGUGGUGUAGUGAAAUAAAAUAAAUGCACAACCGUUGUUCUUUACUUUUUAAAAACUAUUUUCAUUACUCUCGCAAUCAAACUGUUCUCACUGAAUCACUACCUAUAUCAAUAUCUGUAUUACACCGGUUUAUAUCAAACUUAUAUAUAAUUAUUUUAAUAAUCUACAUCUAUAUGUUUCAUUAUUAUUUUGCUAAUCCAUCAUUAUAGAAAAAUAAUUAGGUAUCAAAGUCAAAAGCAACAAUUAAAAAUAUCACCUUGAACCGUUAUUAAAAAAAUAUAAAUAUAUAAAAAAUAAUAUAAACAGUAAAUCAAAAUAUAAAUGAUAUAAUAAUAAAUAUUGAUAUAACCUUGCAUUAAACUAAUAUAAUGAAUAAUUAAACAUAAAAAAAUUAUAAAAAAAAUAGCCAUACUUGUCACCAUCUUAUCUAGAAGGCAGAUAAAUUUAAAACGGCUAAAUUCAAAGAAAUUUUGUUUUGAUUCAAUCACAAUAGAGUGUUUUACUUUGGGGCAGAACAUUGCGUGCCUGCGAGGCACUCUGUGUGAUUUGCAUCCAUUCAUUUUAAAAAUAUCAAGAACCGUACAACAAAAAUUUAACAUCUUUAAUGUUCUAUAUAUAUAGAACUCAUGCUAAAGUUACAAUUAUAUACUGAAGAAAAAACUGAAAAGGAUUAGAAAUGGAAAGCACCAGUUCUUUUAGCUGGCUGACCGCUUCUCUUUUAGCUGUAAUUGUUACUGUUAUGCUGAAAUGGAUGCAUGCAAGCUAUUUUUCAGCUAAACAGAAACCACCAGGCCCGUUGGCAUGGCCCCUGAUCGGAAAUAUUUUCGAUCUCGGAAGCAUGCCACACCAGAGCCUAUACAAACUUCGGCCGAGAUACGGACCUGUACUUUGGUUGAAGCUCGGUUUAGUCGAUACUAUGGUCAUACAAUCAGCCAAAGCUGCAGCCGAUAUGUUCAAGAACCAUGACGCCGUCUUCUCUGAUCGUAAGGUUCCNUUGCCAUAUAUUAUAUGGCAACACAGAGAAGGUGUUGCCAUUAUAAACAGAUGUUGUCAUACGAUUUAGAGCAACACACACCAACCAUGUUGCUAAUGACAAAAUAAUGUUGGCAUAAGGUUUACGGCAACAUAAAAAAUCGUGUUGUCAUAAACUGGAAAAAGUGUUGGCAUAACCUCUAUGCCCACAUCGAUUUUCCUAACACCUUCAAAUUUGAACAAAAUGUUGUCAAAAACACAAUGGCAACAUAAAUUGCAGUUUUAGCAACUAAUUUUGGGUGUUAGGAUAGACCAUAUGUGGUGUAGUGAAAUAAAAUAAAUGCACAACCGUUGUUCUUUACUUUUUAAAAACUAUUUUCAUUACUCUCGCAAUCAAACUGUUCUCACUGAAUCACUACCUAUAUCAAUAUCUGUAUUACACCGGUUUAUAUCAAACUUAUAUAUAAUUAUUUUAAUAAUCUACAUCUAUAUGUUUCAUUAUUAUUUUGCUAAUCCAUCAUUAUAGAAAAAUAAUUAGGUAUCAAAGUCAAAAGCAACAAUUAAAAAUAUCACCUUGAACCGUUAUUAAAAAAAUAUAAAUAUAUAAAAAAUAAUAUAAACAGUAAAUCAAAAUAUAAAUGAUAUAAUAAUAAAUAUUGAUAUAACCUUGCAUUAAACUAAUAUAAUGAAUAAUUAAACAUAAAAAAAUUAUAAAAAAAAUAGCCAUACUUGUCACCAUCUUAUCUAGAAGGCAGAUAAAUUUAAAACGGCUAAAUUCAAAGAAAUUUUGUUUUGAUUCAAUCACAAUAGAGUGUUUUACUUUGGGGCAGAACAUUGCGUGCCUGCGAGGCACUCUGUGUGAUUUGCAUCCAUUCAUUUUAAAAAUAUCAAGAACCGUACAACAAAAAUUUAACAUCUUUAAUGUUCUAUAUAUAUAGAACUCAUGCUAAAGUUACAAUUAUAUACUGAAGAAAAAACUGAAAAGGAUUAGAAAUGGAAAGCACCAGUUCUUUUAGCUGGCUGACCGCUUCUCUUUUAGCUGUAAUUGUUACUGUUAUGCUGAAAUGGAUGCAUGCAAGCUAUUUUUCAGCUAAACAGAAACCACCAGGCCCGUUGGCAUGGCCCCUGAUCGGAAAUAUUUUCGAUCUCGGAAGCAUGCCACACCAGAGCCUAUACAAACUUCGGCCGAGAUACGGACCUGUACUUUGGUUGAAGCUCGGUUUAGUCGAUACUAUGGUCAUACAAUCAGCCAAAGCUGCAGCCGAUAUGUUCAAGAACCAUGACGCCGUCUUCUCUGAUCGUAAGGUUCCUGAUGCACUAACAGCCUGGAACUACAACCAAGGGUCAUUAGCCAUGGGCAAUUACGGUCCAUAUUGGCGCACACUACGAAAGCUCUGCUCCAUGGAGCUCCUAGUCACUAAACGAGUCAAUGAUUCAACUGUGAUCCGGGAGAAGUGUGUGGAAAAGCUGGUUUGCUGGAUAGAACAGAUCAUUGCAUCCUCGCAAGUUGAGGGAAGAUCAGGCGAGGUGGAACUGUCCGAACUCUUAUUUCUCAUGACGUUUAAUGUGGUGGGAAACCUCAUGCUUUCGAAGGAUCUUCUGGAUUUAUCUUCCACUCAAGGACGAGAAUUCUUUGAAGCAAUGAACGAAGUCAUGAAAUGGGCGGGGACACCUAACCUGGCAGACUUCCUGCCAUUCUUGAAGCCGUUUGAUCCAUUCAAAAUUAGAAAAAAUAUGGCUAAAGGCAUGGGCGUAGCCAUAAAUAUCGUAAGCAGCUUUUUGAAAGACAGGGGUCAUGAAACUAUGUCCACGGAGAAGGUGAAGAAGGACUUCUUGGAUGUCCUCUUGGAGUAUCAAGGUGACCGAAAAGAAGGACCUGACAAAAUGUCUGAAAAGCAUAUAAUUAUCAUCAUACUGGUAGUGAUCAAAAUCCUUUCAAUUAAACUUUCUUCUUUUCAAUUGAAUUCCUAGCUCUCUACAUAAAACAAGUUUCGAUAGCAAUUAAUGGACUUUUUUGCACAUACAAUGAAGUCUAAAAUAGUAAAAUGCCAUCAUUUGAUUUUGAACUAUAAACACUACGGGUUCACCUUAGUUAGGCUGCCUUAAUUUGUUGCUUGUUGCAUCAGACAUCAGUUAUUAAGAGCCGGGAAUUAUGCAGGAAAUGUUUUUCGCUGGGUCAGAAACAACAAGCAGUAGCAUAGAAUGGGCCAUGGCAGAGCUAUUACGCAACCCUGAAUCGAUGAGGAAGGUCAAAGAAGAACUUGACAGUGUUAUCAUGCCUAACAAAAGGGUCAUGGAGAGUGACAUCGAUAAGCUACCAUAUCUGCAAGCAGUGGUAAAGGAAAGCCUGAGACUCCAUCCGGCUAUUCCUCUACUGCUUCCACGAAACUCAAUGGAAGACACCAAUUUCAUGGGGUAUGACAUACCCAAAAGUACCCAAGUUUUUGUAAAUGUGUGGGCAAUCGGAAGGGACCCUGAUGUAUGGGAAGACCCCUUGUCUUUCAAGCCCGAAAGGUUCAUAGGCUCGAAUAUCCAUUACAAAGGGCAGCACUAUGAGUUGCUUCCGUUUGGGUCCGGGAGACGGAUUUGUGUUGGAAUGGCGCUGGCUUACCGAGUUCUUCACCUCAGUUUGGCCACCUUGCUUUGGACUUUCGACUGGGAGCUUGGCAACUCCCUUACUCCACAGACUAUCAACAUGGCCGAGAGGACUGGUAUAACACUCAGAAUGUCGGAACCUCUUAAAGCAAUUCCCAGAAAAAUCAAUCGAACGUGAUGGCCAUUACGUGUUCAGAGAGACAAUGAAGGUGAUACGGACAUUUGCACAUUACAAGGCUGCUAUGUUGUCAAAUAUAAUUUCAAUUCCUAGAAAAAAUGUCUACGUACUUGAUAAAGUUUCUUCUUCUAUAUUAUCGCAAAUAGAUGUGUGUCUAAUUAUAGGAAAGAAAGUCUUCUUUGUUAUGUGUAAUGCAGAUUAGCCAUCAACAAAUAAGUGCACUGCAAGAUUGUUGUGUAAUGCGGCUGUGAUUCAUUUAGUAUUAUAAUAUUAAGAUACAUAUUAUUUGUGAAAUUUUUUGACUUUGUUAUAUUUAUCUUUUAAGUUAAUAUCUCACAUUUUCUAUUUUAUUCUGUCUUAUGUUUUUUAAUUUGGAAAUCAUCCAAAAAUAAAUAUCCAACUUUGAAUUACACAUAUUAUCAUAUAAUUUGAAUUAGAAAGAGUAACUUUUUGAAAAUAAUUUAACAUAAAGUUGUGCCCAUACACACUAAUUUUGGGUUUGGGACCUUGUGAUGGUACUAAAAGAAAUUAAUGUAAAUGAGCUUUUAUUAUGACCGAGCUGUUUAUCUACUUACGAUAUAUGAGUUACUGACUUACUGCUGGCAGAGUUAAAUAUGUAUUUUAUAAUUGAAAAAAUGAUUCACACUAUUUUUCACAAAAAAAAAAUCAUUUUCUAAAAUAUGUUACGAGUAAUAGUAAAGUGUUAAUAUCAAAAAUUGUUGUUAGGUGCAUAAUAGAAAACUAUAGAAUUGAAUAUAGAAUUUGAAUUAAAUUCUAAUUUAUUAUUAUUAUUGUUAUUAUUAUUAUUUUUGAAGAAAUAAUAAUAAUAAUAAUAAUAAUAAUAAUAAUAAUAAUAAUUAUUAUUAUUAUUAUAAUAUCCGCGGAAUGGCAAACUCCCGAUCCGCGAAAAGAGAAACCCGGUUCUGCGGAUACUUAAAAACAAAAUUAAAUCUUAGCCCUUAAAAUAUAGAUCUAAGAGCUCAGUACUUUGGCCACCUUGCUUUGGACUUUCGACUGGGAGCUUGGCAACUCCCUUACUCCACAGACUAUCAACAUGGCCGAGAGGACUGGUAUAACACUCAGAAUGUCGGAACCUCUUAAAGCAAUUCCCAGAAAAAUCAAUCGAACGUGAUGGCCAUUACGUGUUCAGAGAGACAAUGAAGGUGAUACGGACAUUUGCACAUUACAAGGCUGCUAUGUUGUCAAAUAUAAUUUCAAUUCCUAGAAAAAAUGUCUACGUACUUGAUAAAGUUUCUUCUUCUAUAUUAUCGCAAAUAGAUGUGUGUCUAAUUAUAGGAAAGAAAGUCUUCUUUGUUAUGUGUAAUGCAGAUUAGCCAUCAACAAAUAAGUGCACUGCAAGAUUGUUGUGUAAUGCGGCUGUGAUUCAUUUAGUAUUAUAAUAUUAAGAUACAUAUUAUUUGUGAAAUUUUUUGACUUUGUUAUAUUUAUCUUUUAAGUUAAUAUCUCACAUUUUCUAUUUUAUUCUGUCUUAUGUUUUUUAAUUUGGAAAUCAUCCAAAAAUAAAUAUCCAACUUUGAAUUACACAUAUUAUCAUAUAAUUUGAAUUAGAAAGAGUAACUUUUUGAAAAUAAUUUAACAUAAAGUUGUGCCCAUACACACUAAUUUUGGGUUUGGGACCUUGUGAUGGUACUAAAAGAAAUUAAUGUAAAUGAGCUUUUAUUAUGACCGAGCUGUUUAUCUACUUACGAUAUAUGAGUUACUGACUUACUGCUGGCAGAGUUAAAUAUGUAUUUUAUAAUUGAAAAAAUGAUUCACACUAUUUUUCACAAAAAAAAAAUCAUUUUCUAAAAUAUGUUACGAGUAAUAGUAAAGUGUUAAUAUCAAAAAUUGUUGUUAGGUGCAUAAUAGAAAACUAUAGAAUUGAAUAUAGAAUUUGAAUUAAAUUCUAAUUUAUUAUUAUUAUUGUUAUUAUUAUUAUUUUUGAAGAAAUAAUAAUAAUAAUAAUAAUAAUAAUAAUAAUAAUAAUAAUUAUUAUUAUUAUUAUAAUAUCCGCGGAAUGGCAAACUCCCGAUCCGCGAAAAGAGAAACCCGGUUCUGCGGAUACUUAAAAACAAAAUUAAAUCUUAGCCCUUAAAAUAUAGAUCUAAGAGCUCAGUACACGUGUUACAUAACCCCUCCCCAGCAUACGGUUGUCGGGAACAGGGCCUAUGAGUAAUGGGUAAAUAUUAGUGACAAAAUUACAGUGUUAGGUGCAUGCAUGUAAAUACUUUAGUUUUCUAGAUAAAUCGAAAUGCAAGUCGAUCCAUCUAUACUAUAUUAUAAUAAGUUUUUUUUUUUUUUAACAAAAUGCAAAUUCAUUCCAUUAAAUUAAAACAAGUCUAGUCGGGACAACUCCCCAACUAACAAUGCAAUCAGGUUGAUAAACAAUAAAACGAGCUAAACAAAUAGCCGCAUUGUUUCCAGACUGCUUAACAAACUGAAUCCAAGGAUUCUUGAAAUUGAAAAUGAAUACAAAGGCUUCUCGAGUAAUCCAGCCUACAUCAAUCCCGAAAAUGGUAGCUUCACAAUUGACCUUCACAAUAGUUCCAUGGCUGUUGCGGUGUUCAGACGACUCAGUUGUAAAAACUAAGCAAUGAGGAACAAGGGUCCUCGAAUAAUGAACAACUAUAAUUUGUGAAAGGUGAGCACAUGCGAUCGCCACCGUUCCAAGCAUACCCCAGCUAUCUACAUGCCGGAAGCCAGCUAUAGACAUGCCGAAAGUAUUAAUGAUGCGAUAAGCCAGAUCUCCCAAAACUCCAUCACAAUCAUUCUCAUUGAUAACACAAGACGACAUAUCAACGUAGAAUCACCCAAGAAUGGGGUACUAAAUCAACACACGCCAAAAGGCGAGACGGGAAAACACAAUCGGAUCUUUGAUUUCAAAAUAUCUGAUUUAUUCAGAAAGCAAUCAAGCCCAAACUCAAAUCCGAAACAGAUCCGAGAAUAAAACUCGAUUGGAAUCUUCGAGGUUUAAGCAACACUCGAUUUUAUUGAAAAACAAAAAACUAGUAAAUAGUGGAGAAGAUGGGAGAGCGAAGAUGAUUUGGUGGAUGAAGAGGAUGAAGGUGAAGAAUGGAGAAGUGACGGCUAGUUUUGGGAGUCGACUCUCAAAACCCUAAUUUGAGAGAGAAUAGUGUUACUGCUUCUUUUGAUUUAUUUUCAUGCGGUACCUCUGACUUUCCCUUAAUAUUAAGUUAAUAUGGGUAUAAUUUGUAAUCCAAAAUUUUAGUUAUAUUUUUUGGUUUGGUAUUCACCCUCCAAAAUUACAAGUCUACAAGAUGUGAAGUUCCAUUACUUUUACAUUGUUAAAUAGUUUUAAAUACUAAAAAACACUCAUUAGCAACACAUUAUCAUAUAAUAUUUUAUAAAAAAAUUAUAAUAAUAUUAAAAAUAAAAUUAUAAAUAUCCAAUUUUGAAUAUCUUUUUUAACAAGAACCUUCAUAUAACUCUUUUCAAUUCCAACAUGUUCUAUUUCAAUACAAACACAAACUAUUACGUAACCUUUUCUAACUCUAAUAUGUAUGCAACAAAUAUCCUUUUUCAUACGUAUACAUAUGAGGAUAUAUGAAAUAUGAAAAAUCUGAUUUAAAAAUAAUUGAAUAAUAAAUUAUCACAUAUUAAUAACACAAAAAUAUUGAUAAAUAGAUAAUAAACUGUAAAAGCUAAAUUUUCGUGAGAAAAUAUAAACAAUUGGUUAAUAUAAUAUAAUUAAAAUUCAAUUCAUUAAUACUAAAAUACUAAUGAAAUGAUCUUAAAAUUUAAAUAAUAAAUUACGAAUUAUAUACCUACCCGUGCUUCGCACGGGUUAAAGGCUAAUAUUAUUAAUAUUCACACUAUCUUUUAAAAAUGUUAUUUUCAAUAUUAUAUGUCAUACUGGUAAUGGGUAGAUAUUAGUAAAAAAAUUGCAUUGUUAGGUGCAUGCAUUUAAACUAUAUAUUUCUAGAUCAAUCGAGAUGCAAGUCGAUUCAUAUUACUUAUACAUGUAAAAAAAAAUUAAUACAUACGACAAAAAUAGUUUAUAUUUGAAAUCCGGAACAUAUGAUUUUUAUGUUAUGAAUGUAACUUAAAAUUAUUAUAUGUUAUAAUAUCAAUUUAUUAAAGUAUCUUAAAAUUUUUUAAUUUGUUAUAAAAUUUAAUUGUAAAAACAUAUGCACUUCCUUUUUGAAUCAUCUAUGUUUGUAAUAACAAAUGCAAUACCAAUAUUACUUUUAAUCAUCUGAGUCACUUUGUUCAGUAUGAUUGCAUAAUUAUUUAUGUAAUCAAAACUAAGUGAAUUAAAAAAAAUUGUGAUUAUUUCAGAGCUUGUGAUAGUUUUGAAUAUUAAAAUUUAAGAGAAAAAAUAUAUUACAUAAAUUUAGCGAUGAAUUGAGACGGCAUUCGAUUCACAUUAAGUAAUCAGUGAUAUAAAUAGUUUCAAUACAAUACGGACAAAUAUAUGUAUGUGGCUGAUACUAAAUUUAGUGAUGAAUUUGGACGAAAUUCAGUCCAUAUUAAGUAAUAAGUGAUAUAAAUAGUUCUAUUCCAAUACGUACAAAUAUAAUAUAUUUUAGAUAUAUAUAUAUAUAUAUAUAUAUAUAUAUAUUGAAUGCAAUUUGUUGCGCGUUACAAAUUAAAUCGUAAAAUAUUUGACUGUGUAUUUAUAAUAUUCAACUGUCAACGAUAUCACAUAAUUUCUCAAUCUAUUCUAAAAUUUAUUUCUAAAAAUUUCAUAUUUUAUAAAUAGCUAAAAGAUCUGGAACUCACACUUAAUCUAGUUAAUAAUCUAGUGAAUCAAUUUAAAAUGGAAAAAGUUUGGUAGGAGUUAGUAAGAAGUUUUUAGAUAUCAUUUAAUGUAGGAAUUGAUUCAUUUUACAAAAUCCCCAUGUGAAAAUAAUCACAAACUCCUAUAAAUAUCAUGCAAGGGAAGAACAUAUACUCUCACCCACAAAAUAAAAACACAAACAACAAACACACAAGAAAACCAUUGUUGUAACCUUUGAAGAUGGCGGAGAAAGGGAAAAAUACGCUCGACUCACAUGCUUCUGAUCACAUACCAAUACCGGCCCAACCACAAAAGGUGGUUACCGCCGGUGAUGUUGGAAGUUCAACUAGUUAUUUGACGAAAAAGAGACGAGAGAGACGGAGGAAGAGUGAUGCGCUUGGAAACUCGGUGGUGCCUCCUCUUAUGAUUAGGGCUGGCAAUAUCGGGUUGUGGGUCGGGUUCGUGUCGGGUCAACAUUCUCGGGCAGUAUUUUUUACCCAACCCGAACCCGACCCGAAAAUUUAAUGGGUACAGGUACCCAACCCGAACACGACUCGAAUAGAUUUCGGGUUACCCGACACGACCCGAAAUGACACGAAACAUUCACAAAUUAAAUUCAUCAAAUAUUACAACUUUAAUACAAAUUAGUGGAAAUUCAACUUGAAUGCAUAAGAAAGUGAAAAUCUUCAGUCUUCGAUUUAACUUGAAAGCUGGACUGCAGCUCUUAACCAGUCAUCUCCAUUCACAUAUUAAUUCUCUGCAUUCUGCAAGGACAAUAACACAAUUUUAGAGCAUAUAAAGAAAUCAAGACACUGACUUAUUCUUUUUGUUAAAAAUGGACAUCAACAAAAAUGGACCAAGAAAUUAAACACAUAUAUGAAUAGAUCAGAAGACAAUAAGAUAGUAAAUAGGAUUAGAUAAUCAAAUCCAGUGGAGAGGGCGAGUGAGAGAGUUCGAGUGAAACUUACCAAAUACGAAUUCAGGGGAGAGGGCGAGUUUCGAAAUCAAAUCGGAGAUUAAAAUCGGAGUGAAGGGGGAGUGAGAGGGGAGGAGAUUCGAAAAGAGAGGGAGUGUUCUUGAUUUGGAAGAGAGGGCGAGUGAGAGUAUGAGAGAUUUAGGGAAUUAGGGUUGAGAAGGCGGCCGCAGCUUACUCAGAUCUGGAAAAAGAAAGAAAAUGAAUAAGGAUCUGUAGGGUUGUUACGGUUGUAUAUGUUAAGUAUAAUCUUUAAUAUAUAAUAUUUAAUUUAUAUAAUAUAUAUAUGCGGGUUGAUUUCGGGUUACCCGAACCCGACCCGAAAAUGACCCGAUUUUUUCGGGUCAAUUUUGGGUCAACCCGAAAUCGACCCGAACCCGAAAUACCCUGACCCGAAUUCGUACUUUGCGGGUCGAAUUCGUGUCGGGUUAUCGGGUCGUGUCUGAAAUUGCCAGCCCUACUUAUGAUUGUUGUUGCUUCACUGCCGUGGGUGACUGUUGUUGCUUCGCCUCCGCUGAUUUAUGCACCGCCAGUGUCUCAGGUUGUAUCUCGAACACCUGUUGGAUUCACUUGAUGAUUCUGCUAACAGAACCUUGGGCCGUGGGCCCGUGGCUGUCGGCGCCCUCAGGCUUUUGAAAACUGGCAGGCUAUUGCUUCAAUUGGUUAGUAUUCUUUUCUUUUUUAUAAACUUAUUUAUUAAUUAUUUUUUUAGAGGGUAUUAUUAGAAUUAUUUUUGUUGUCCAGUAUUAUAAAAUAAAUCACAGCUUUUUGCAAAAGAUAUUUUUUUAAUUUGUAUAUAUGUUACUAUAUGUGUAUUCUUUUUAUAUAUGGUAAAGAUAAAAAGGGAACUGAUGGUCAAAUGGUGGCUUGUUUGCAAAUUCCGCUACAGGAGAAUUUCGAGUUCAUUUGCUCGAUGCGUAUCCCGGGGAGGUAGACAUGUGUUUUGAAUUGUUUUGUUAUACAUGUUUUUGUUAAAUAUUAUAUGUGUUUGGCAUAAUUUAUAGAGAGUUUUUUAUAGACACAAACUAUCAACAACUUUUUACUUUUUUACUUAGUUGGAAGAUUUUGAUAUAUAAAUAUUUUUAUGCAUGAUGGGAACUAAUAGAAAUUCUCCACUUAAGCAAAAAGUAGUUCUCAGUAAAAAAAAUAUGAUUUAGAAAUAGCUUAUAAAUUGAAAAAUAUAUGUAUUUCCAGCUUGUAAAUAAUUUACGAAUCCGAUCAAACACACAUUAUCAAUUAUUUCAAGAUUAUAUCCUAUAAUAAAUUGUAUAUGUAUUCUAAUUUUUUUCAGGACAUCAUCGGGAAGAUCAUGUCAUAUAUCCAAGGAGGGAUUAGUGGAGUAUCUGUGCAUUCUGUCAACAACAGGAGUGUUAACAAUGUUGCUCUUCAUCACCCUGGUUGUUUUGGUGGGGUAAUUAAUUACGAGGUUCGACUCUUGUGUUUCUUAUACUAGAAUAUAAGAUAUAUAUCUUUGUUUGAAUCAAGGUGAUCUCUACAGUUCCUGAAUGCCGUUGUUGCAUCUUUAGCUUGUUCCUUGAUCUAUUGUUCAUAGUUUUGUUGCUAAUUUGCACAUGUUUAACGAUCAAAUUAUUAACAAUUCAAUUACAAAAUUGAUCAUUCUUCCAACUUUUUUCUCACUUCUUUUUCAUUUACAUUUUUAUAAUGUUGCAGGGCCGAUUUGAGAUCUUGUCCCUAAAUUUUCAAAUUAAUGGCCAGUUUUGAAUUUUGAGUUUUAAAAUAAUGACGUUUUAUUAUUUUUCAUAAUUUUUUCCAGAAUAAUAUUCAUGUUUUAUUUUCACCUUUUAAAAUAAUGGCUAAUUCUCACGUUCUUAGCCUUUUUUAAAAAACAAAAGUAAAUUCUCGUCAUUAAUUUGUCAUUUUGAAAAUUCGGCCACCUUUUUAAAAUGUAGUGAAAUAUAUGACCAUCAUUCAGUAAUUUAUUCUUAAAAUUAUGACAAACUUAAAGCCCCAUAUAGAAUCCUUUAGAUAUCACAAAGACGUCACAGUAGUUUAUAUCUUCGAUAUCUGGCUGAAACUGUGUUAUACUAAAUUUAGUUGAAUUUGAUUUUCUUCCUUGUGCAUAAGCCCUGAAAUCUUUGAGUACUUAUCACCAUUAAGGAUGCAAUGGAAAUAUUGCCGUCUGACCAUAUGGAUGGUUUUACACAUAUCAUAUAUGUAAGAACAUCCUUGGCCACCGAAAUGCCAUCCAAGUAAGAUCAUACUUCACUGCUAGCAAUUGGUGUAAAAACUUGAAUCCAAGUAGAGCCCUGUAUAGUCUCAGGCCAAACUAAAAGCAACCCGUGUUAGCUUGUACAGUCUGUCUGCUUUGUCAAGCAAACAAGGGCCAGGAGGAUCAAGGUUUCAAUUGGUAAUUCAAGCUGCCGAUUUAAGCAUUCUCCUACAUUUCACUUCCAUCUUAUCAUUUCAACCAGCUCCUAGACCAAAAUUUAUCUUUAGUUCUGACUCGAUUGUUUAUGUAUCAGACUCAAAAUCGGACUAAGCCAAACACGUAAAAGUUCUCUUUUCUUAAUCUAUAUUACUAACAUUAUUGCUAACUAGGAUCAUGUACAACCAUAGAAGCCAGCAUUUGCAAUACUAUCAAUAGUCCAUUCUAAGAUCCUAAUAUCCAACCCCAUGCUCCUACCAACAAACUUUCUAUAAUCAAUGCCUACAUGUUGACAUAGCUUCAUAUUAGUAGCAUACAAAUUGGAAUAGAAUCAGGCUACAAAUGUCAUCUAGACUUCUUUUCUUCCUGACAUGAGCUACAGGCACAUAAACAUAACACCAACAGGCACCUAUGAAUGCACUUUAUCAUCAACAUUUUCAUCUAUGUUUUAAAAGAACCAAAAUUUGAAAGUCAGCACUAGUCUAACAACUAUGUAUAUGACAGAUGGUAGAAAGCAAAGAACAAUCCACAUACAGAACCAGCAUCUGCCUCGGCAGUUUAUACACCCAAUCCUCUUUUAAAUUGAAAGAAAUGAACAAUGAGGAUGUGAUUGUGAGAAUUGGCGCAAUACAUACAUGUCGAAAUCUCUUUUCCCCUAGUUCUGGACGGAGCACAGGCCUUUUAAGUUAAAUAUCUACACAGGUUCUGCCAACAUUGCAAUGCUUGUUGAGUUGGAGCAGUCUCGACCACAAGAGUUCUAGUGAACCUAACACAUAUAGUGUGUCCCGCACAGCCCUCCAAUGAAAUUUUAGACAAGAACUUCAAGAGUCCUGUACCUAGAUCCAACCUGCACAACUAUUGAGUAGCAUCAGAAUUCAGAACAGAAAGCCUGUGUGUUCUCACAUUUCAUAAUAUAAUUAAUAAUAAUGAGACCUAGGUAUCAAUUGACAGAUACAAGCGAAUAUGCCCGCCCACUAUUGGCCUGAUUCUAGAAAAUUACCUAUAUGCAUGCAUGAGUCACCAGAAAAAACAGCAAAUAAACUCUUCUUCCCAAGGGAAUGAGUGCAACCUAUACUAUACAAUAAACAGAAAUGUUCUCACCAGCAUUCGAAGGCUUCAUGCAUAUUACUAACAUGUCCUACUGCCAUGGAGGAUGUUUGUGGUUAAUCCUAUCUCCGUUGAAUCCCCCAUCUGGCUCCUUUCUUUUAACCAUCCCUCCUGCCAUUUGUUGAUACAUCUUCAACUGCUCAUCUGGUAAUGCCUGUGAAGCAGUAAGAGGAAGCUGCCUCAAAGCCGAAGGCAACCUUUCCUCUCUCCUGUCCAGUUCUGUAACUCCAGGCCCUGCAUUUAGAUCUAAACCCUGGUCACCCCAUUUUUUACUUUCCGGGACAUUACUAGUACUUCCAGGAAUGCUCAUCACGAAGGGUCGGGAAUAAUGAGUAGACCCCAUGCCCGUAGGUCUCAUCACCUGUGGGGGGAUAGCAGGUAGGUAAUGUGGGCCACCAGAUGAUGAUUCUGUGAAUGGUGUUGAAACCCCAGAAUACGAAUUGGAUGACAAGGGAAAAUUGGUCUCAAAUGGGAAUAAUCCAGGAUACUGAAAUGGGAUAUUUGGUGUGUAGCCAACUGCAGGAGAUGAUGACAGGACGGGACCCCUAUAAAGUUCAGGAUUGAAUGAAGUGUUUCCAGGUGGAAGCAUAAUUCCCUGUGAAUUUGCUGAAGGGUGAGUGAGAUAGUUUUGAUCACCUCUACCAGGAAGAAUAGGAGGCAUUGCUAAGGGAGAGUAUGAGACUCCAGGAGGAAUCCAGGCAAAAUUUCCAAGUUCCAUGUUAUUCAUUCUGACAGGAGGAACUGAUGAAGCAAAGGGAAUACUGUUUUUAGCAUGCGGUGCAGCUUCAUAACCCCCUUCAUCGGGACCAGGUCCAUUGUUCAAAUCAAAGUCCCUCGAUGUGUUCGACUCAGCACCAUAUAAAGAUGGCCUUAGAGGCCUCUUUGGCAUUUCCGUUCUACAGCUGCUAACUGAGAAGUGACCAAUUUCAGGACUAUCAUCACAUAUGUUCAAAUCAAGAUUAAAACCAGCGCCAAUUUGUUCACUGCGUCUAGUUUCUGAGGAAGUUGCAACAGAUUUUUGAGGAGCCACUUCCUCCAUAGCUCUCUGAUCUGGUAUGUUCAAAUCAAAGUCCAAAAGUGGGCGACUUUGUUUAGUCGCGGAGCUCCCAACUAAAGGAACACUAACUGUACAUGGGGGAUUGUCCAGGUUCUUUCUAGGUUCAGCAGGUCGAAAUGCACUGGUAGCGGCAGAACCCCUCCAACCCAGUUCACCCUUUAACCUCAACGGAUUUUCUGGAGGGACAAAUGGACCUUUAGCAGCAGAAGCAACGGUAACUGAAGGACGACCUUCAGCCAAUGAGAUGGGAACUGGUGAAGUGAAAGGUAAAGGAAUGGAUGAUACAUUUCCAGAAGCCGGCAAUUUAUCAAGAUCCCCAGAAAUUCCAUCGUCAAUGGGAAGACCUUCAUUCAGAUCAAAGUCCACCUUUACAGUCGAUUCUGACACAGAAGCAGUAACAGUAGAAAUAUCAGGAAUGGAAGUAAAUUCUUCUGCUACUUCCGACUUGCUACCACUAGACUUGAUCAGUUCCUUGGAUUCCUGGACAGGUAGUGCAGUAGUCUUAGUAGGAGAUGCACUAGGAUGCAAAUUAUUAAGAUCAUUCUUUUCUGCAAUUCCAUGAGAAUUUUCACUCAUCUGGUGAACAGUUAAUGAGCUUAAACCAGGGGUUUGGUCCUCACUUUGCGUUGUCUGUAAUAGUAAAUUCAUUUCACCAUCCUUUGCAGCUUCUGGCUCCCUGUUUCCCACUGUACUAGGUAAACCUGGCAAUUCAGUAUCUUCCAUUUUUCCACGCAUACCAGACAACUUUACAUUUUUUUUGUCUUGGUCGCACCUAUGGGAAGAUGAGCAAGAUGGUGAUUCUUCAUUAGCUUUGACCUCCAAGUUCUUAAGUGUGGCUGCACUAUCAUGUGGCACAGGUACCCCAUUCACCUCAAUAGUUUCAUUAGAUAUAUCAGUUCCCACUUCAGGUUUCGAGCUCGAGGCAUUAACAUCUCUUGUCCGGGUGUGAGUCGGCUUCCGUGGUUCCUGAAACUGGUCAACUUCAUCAGAAGCUGCAUUAACAUUUUUCUUAACAUUUUCAGAAGACAUGGUUGCAGUGUCUUCCUGGACAGGUUCAUGCGGCCUUUCAUGAGCUGUUGGAACAGGUCCAUUGCAAGCUUUUAAUGCUGCGCCACGAUCCACAUUC
rnacentral:lncRNA from 1 species